GCCGCCACCGCCUCAGGGAAGAGGAAGGAGGCCGCGGCUUCGCGUCCCGCCUCUCGCCUGGCUGGCCGUGGGGGGCCUGGACGCAGUGGCCUCCCGAAUCUCCCAGGACCCUAAUAUCGCCCGAGGAUGCUGGGAGGAACGCUGAGCCGACCUCUCCGUUAGGCUGAAGAUUGCACAAACCAUGCUAAUGGCCAGCAUGGAUGGAGGGAGCGUGUGAGAUGUGUGGGGCAGCGUGCUGCAUCUCAGCCAACUCCAGGAGCCAGUUGAUGUGAUGGACUACCUUAAUUGAUUUUUGAAUGUUGAGCCAGCCUUAUGCAUGUGGGAUAAACCCCUGUUGAUCAUGGCUGGCUGGAGUGCAGUGGUGCAAUCAUGGCUCACUGCAACCUCAAAUUCCUGGGCUCAAGGGAUCCUCCUGCCUCAGCCUCCCAAGUAGCUAGGACUACAGUUCCUGCUGGAAUCUUGCUGUUGCCCAUUCAAGUCUGGUGGUUCCUGUGUGUUGGGGUGGCCUUGCUUCUCCUGCUCUUAGCUCUGGAGGAGCCCUCGGCUGGUGCUGCAGUGAAUCUGUCAGAGUCGUCCUAACCAGAGUGCCCCCAUCCUGAAUAGAGGCUGGAUAAAGCCAAACCUGCUGGGUUAUAGUCCCAGGGGAUUGGGCAGUCCUGGUCACAAGAUAUUUAAGGUUGAGGGAAUAAGUUAAUGAUGCUAAGUAAAUAAAGACCCUGAAUUCUUUCCCGUGAGAGAUUCAAGAACUCACUCUUGGCAUCUGGGAUAAGACCCUUUUUCCGGUAACAAACCCCUGCCCUGGCCCUUUCUUCCUUCUGGAAAACUUAAAAAAAAAAUAGGCCUCAAAAAGACUGCAUUAAUCUGAGAAACUGCUGAAUAUGGCUACUAAGAGAAGCUGGGAUUUUCUGAUUUUUAAUGUCGGUUUCAAAGAGAGCAGGUAUACUUUGCAGGAGGGAACCAUGCUAGCUGCAGAAUCAUGGACGAGCUGGACCACAAGUUUUUACACAGUGUGCAUGCUUUUGUUCUCCUGUCAACUUCUGUUGUUUUCCUGUCAACUUCUGUUGUUUUCAUCAAAAGCCAUCAACCCGCCUCAGCCAGGGCAUCAUAAUGUACAUGCAACAGAGUGUUCCAAGAAACUUUCAGCUGAGACCCUAAGACCCUGGACAUGCAAUGCCAGAGUGAAGUGUGAGGACCACAGCUGUGCAGGACAUGCAGAAAGGAGGGGCAGAGAGCCAAUGAGAUGAUGUCCCACGACUCACCUGUGUCAGUGGAGACCGAAGGAGACUUGGAGGGUGCUUUUGGAGAGAACUGCUGAUGUUUUGUGAGCCUCACUCUCUCUGUGUGUGGAAAUGCUGGAGGAUGAAACCGUCUAAACUCUCCUGAAGUCCCGGGAAUGGAGUUUUAAUGGUAAUGUGUGAUGGGAUGUGUGUUCUCUUAUGGUAUGGGAGACACAGAGGACUCACAGAGGACUGGCCUCUGCCUCUUGACCAGGGAUCAGGAGAGAUGGGAACUGAGCUGGUCAGCUGCUCUUCAGAGCUGGUCGAGGAGAGAUUUCUGCUGUGCUGGGAGGGCCUAAAAACAUGCAUGGAUGGAGCCCAAGGACCAGGUGCAGAUCUUAUGCAAGAAUGAACCAGGGGGUGACUUAGGUCCACCAAAAGACUGCCCAGAGGGACAAAAGGCUAUCAGUGAAAAGAAUCCACAGAUGAACUGCCAGUUCCUCAGGGCUGAGGCAAGAUCUUAAUUUUGAGUAGGAGCAGAGUGUAUUACCUACAACAAGGAUACCACAGAUGAGAAAACCCUAGUUUUAAACCUGCUACAUCCAAAGAGAGCAAUGCAACUCUGGCAGUAGCAAAAAUGUUGUGCCUCUCCUUUCCUCACUCCUAAUUUCCCAUCCCAGAGAAGGGUCAGAAACCAUCUUCUGCAAGAUGGGAGGAAGGGUAGCAGCCAGACUGCAAAAAGGGAGAAGAAACCAGCUACCUCUUGCUGUUCUCAGUGGCAGACUCCCCACCUGCAACAGGUCAGGUCUGUUACUGGAGAGAAAAGACAGACGGAGUCUCGCACUGUUGCCCAGGCUGGAGUGCAGUGGUGCGAUCUUGGCUCAUUGCAAGCUCUGCCUCCCAGGUUCAAGCCAUUCUCCUGUCUCAGCCUCCCGAGUAGCUGAGACUACAGGCACCUGCCACCAUGCCCAGCUAAUUUUCUGUAUUUUUAGUAGAGACGGGGUUUCAACGUGUUAGCCAGGAUGGUCUCGAUCUCCUGACCUCGUGAUCUGCCCACCUUGGCCUCCCAAAGUGCUGGGAUUUUUUUUUUUUUUUUUUUUUUUUGAGACAGAGUCUUGUUCUGUUGCCCAGGCUAGAGUGUAGUGGUGCGUUCUCGGCUCAUUGCAAGUUUCGCCUCCCGGGUUCAAGCCAUUCUCCUGCUUCAGCCUCCUGAGUAGCUGAUACUACAGGUGCCUGCCACCACGUCCGGCUAAUUUUUGUAUUUUUAGUAGAGAUGGGGUUUCACCAUGUUGGCCAGGCUGGUCUCGAACUCCUGACCUCAGGCAAUCUGCUUGCCUCAGCCUCCCAAAGUGCUGGAAUUACAGGCAUGAGCCACCACGCCCGGCCUGACAUGAUAUUUUGAAACACAUAUACAUAGUGAAAUGAUUACUAAAGUCGUGCAAAUUAAUACAUUCAUCUCUUCACAUAGUCACCCCAUUUUUUUUGUUUUAGAGUGAGAGCACUUGAAGUCUCUCAGCAAAUUUCCGGUAUACAACACAGUAUUAUUAACUAUGGUCACCAUGCUGUACGUUAGAUCUCUAAACUCCUUCAUCCUACAGAACUGCAACUUUGUACCCUUUGACCAACGUCUUCAUGUUUCUCCAACUCUCUGCCCCUGGGAAGCACUGUUCUACUCUCUGUUUCUAUGUAUGACUUUUUUAGAUUCCACAUGUAAGUGGGAUCAUGAACUGGUUUUCUUUCCACGCAUGGCUGAUUUCACUUAGCAUAAUGUCCACCAGCUUCAUCCAUGUUGUUGUAAAUGACAGGAUCUCCUUUUUCUUUUUUUUUUUUUUUUUUUUUUUUUUUUUUUUUGAGAUGGUGUCUUGCUCUUUCACCCAGGCUGGAGUGCAGUGGCGCAAUCUCGUCUCACUGCAAGCUCCACCUCCCGGGUUCAUGCCAUUCUCCUGCCUCAGCCUCCCGAGUAGCUGGGACUACAGGCGCCCGCCACUGCGCCUGGCUAAUUUUUUGUAUUUUUAGUAGAGAUGGGGUUUCACUGUGUUAGCCAGUAUGGUCUCGAUUUCCUGACCUUGUGAUCCGCCCACCUCAGCCUCCCAAAGUGCUGGGAUUACAGGCAUGAUCUCCUUCUUUUUUAAGGCUGCCUAAUAUUCCAUUGGGUGUGUGUAUAUAAGUGUGUAUAUGUACACAUACAUCACAUUCUUUCUAUCCAUUCAUCCAUCAACAGAUGCAGGUUGUUUCUAUAUCUUAGCUGUUAUGAAUUAUGCUGCAGUGAACAUGGGAGUUCAGAUGAUCUUUUCGAGGUGCUGAUUUCAUUGUGUUUGGAUAUAUACCCAGAAGUGGGAGAGCUAGAUAAUGUGGCAAUUCUAUUUUUAAUUUUUUGAGGAACCUCUGUGCUGUUUUUUAUGAAUGGGGCUGUACCAAUUUACAUUCCCACAAAUAGUGUACAUGCUUCCCUUUUCUCCAUACCCUCACCAAUACUUAUCGCUUGUCUUUUUGAUAAUAGCCAUCCUAACAGGUGUAAGGUGAUAUCUCAUAGUAGUUUUAAUUUGUAUUUCCUUGAUGAUUAGUGAUGUUGAAUACCUUUUCAUAUAUCUGUUGGCCAUUGGUAUGUCUUCCUCAGAAAAAUGUCUGUUGCAAGUCCUUUGCCCAUUUUUAAAUCGGGUUGUUUGUUUUUUUGUUAUUGAGUUGUGUGAGUUUCUUAUAUGUUGUGGAUAUUAACCCUUUACCAGAUAUAUGGUUUGCAAAUAUUUUCUCCCAAUUCAUAGAGUGCCUUUUCAUUUUGUUGAUUGCUCUCUUUGCUGUGCAGAAGCUUUUUAGUUUGAUAUUGUCCCACUUGUUUAUUUUUGCUUCUGUUGCCUGAAUUUUUUAUGUGUGUUAAGAAAUAAUUGCCAAAGCCAAGAUCAAAAAGUUUUUCUCCCGACUUAUUUCUAGAAGUUCUUUAGUUUCAGGUCACAUUUAAACCUUUAAUCCAUUUUGAGCUGAUUUUUGUAUAUGGUGUUAAAAAAGGGGGGCCAAUUUCAUUCCUUUGUAUGUGGAUAUCCAGUUUUCCCAGCACCAUUUGUGGAAUAGACUAUCUUUUUCCUAUUGUGUCUUACUGGUGUCCUUGUUGAAGGUCAGUUGAUAAAUGUGUGGGUUUAUUUCUGGGCUCCCUAUUCUGAUCCAUUGGUCUAUGCAUGUGGUUGUAUACUAAUAUCAUACUGUUAAGAUACUAUAACUUUGUAAUAUAAUUUGAAAUCAGGAAAUGUAAUUCCUCCAACUUUAUUUUCCUUUCUCAAGACUGCUUUUGCUACUCAUGGUCUUUUGUGGUUUCAUACAAAUUCUAGAAUGGGUUUUUCUAUUUUUGUGAAAAAUGUCUGAAAUUUUCAUAGAAAUUGCAUUCAAUCUGUAGAUUACUUUUUGUAGUAUGGACAUUUUAAUAAUAUUAAUGUUUUCCAAUCCAUGAACAUAGAGUAUCUUUCCAUUUAUUUGUGUCUUCUUCAAUUUUUUAAAUCAAUGUUUUAUACUUUUCAGUUUUCAAAUCUUUCACUUCUCUGGUUAAAUUAAUUCCUAAGUAUUUUAUUCUUUUUGAUGCUAUCAUAAAUAGGGUUACUUUCUUGAUUUUCUUUCAGAUGGUUUGUUAUUGGUGUAUAUAAAUGCAACUGAUUUUUGUAUCCUGAUUUUGUAUUCUACAACUUUAAUGAAUUUGUUUAUUAGUCAAAUCGUGUUUUUUUUUUCUGGAGCCUUUAGUAUUUUCUACAUAUAGAAUCAUGCCAUCUGUAAAUAGGGAUAAUUUUACCUCUUCUUUCCAAGUGGACACUUUUUAUUUCUUUUUCUUGUCUGAUUGCUCUUGCCAGUACUUCUACUACUAGAUUGAAUAGAAGUAGUGAUGAUGGGCAUUGUUGCUUUGUACUGGAUCUUAGAGGAAAAAUUUUCAGUUUUUCUCCAUGGAUUAUGAUGUUAGCUGUAAGCUUUUCGUAAAUGACCUGAUAUGUUGAGGGAAUUUCUAUCUAUUCCUAUUUUGUUGAGUGUUUAUCAUAAAUGGAUGUUGAACUUUGUCAAAUGCUUUUCUGCAUCUAUUAAGAUGAUCACAUGGUUUUUAACUUUCAUUCUGUUUUGUAGCAUAUGACAUUGAUUGAUUUGUAUAUGUUGAACUCAUCUUGCAUCUCAGGGACAAAUCUCACUUGGUCAUGGUGUAUAAUAUUUUUGACGUGUUAUUGAAGUCAGUUUGUCAGUAUUUUGAGAUACUCAUAUCCUCAGUCCCUAUAUCAUGAUUCUGAAUACCAGAAAGGUUGAAACUGCCUGUGACCAUCACAAAUCUUUUUGAUUAUGAUGAAAUCCCUGAUGCUAUCUCAUGGUCAAAAUGAUAGUGACAUUUUUCAUCAUGCAGCUGGUCCUACCCUGAUUACUACUUCCUCUUCUGGCUAAAUCCAAUCACAUUUGUGCCAUUUACCCUUUGAAUUCUCUUUCAUUCCCACAUGAUUUAACACAUAGAAGUAGUAGAAGUAGUAUAGAGCCAGAUGGAGGUAUUGUCUCUUCCCUGUGAGGAAAGAGAUUUGAAGAAGAUAGUAAGCAGUCUCAGCUGAUACAAAGGAGACAUAGAAGGAUAGAACUGUAGUAAGAUCUUUGAAGAUGGCCUUCAUUCUUUAUCUGACUUACUAAGUUUAAGACUUUUUGUGGUAUUAAUACACACAAAAAUUCUAUCAAUUUUUAAUAGUCUGUCAGGUAAAUAAAUUAUAUACAAAUGAUUUUAAAACAAGAUGUACAUCAAUUCUGAAGUUCACAGGAUCAAUUAAUAAAAAACGCAGUAUACAGUGAGAAGGAAAUUUUGGGCAAUUUCAAGAGUGUUGUUUCUGUAAAGUCGUAGGGCAAUUGCCAAAUUUUAGUAAAAGAAAUAUUUGAUAUUGUGGAAAUUGAGAUAAUUAAGGCAGAGUUUUAGACCAUUUGUGGCUAAAGUUUGACUAUGAAGGAAAAGAGGAAAAGUAGAUUGAUUGGGAUAGCAGGUAGAAAAGAAUUCCAAGGGCUUUUAGUAAGAACUAUAUACAAUGAAGACUCCUAAACUUGAGCUUAAUAUAUGCCAAGUACUAUUCUGGACAUUGAAGAUACAAGUAAUCAUAAUGUCAUAUUCUUACCUUCAAGUAUCUCAGGGUCUACUGGAGAAGAUAAACAGAUUAACAUACAUUAUAACAAAGAAAGUGUUAAAAUAGUAGUAUGAACAUAGAUAUUUAAAAGAAGGAGUAUCUAACUUUUUUCUUGGAGCACAGGCAAAGCUUCAUAGAGGAAGUGGCAUUUAAGAUGAGCCUUACUGAUCAGUAGUAGCUUGGGAAGAGAGAAAAGGGAAAGGGAAUUUUUAGCAAGAGAUAUGGCUUGUGCAAAGGCUUAAAACGGUGGAAAAGCAUGGUAUAUUUGAGGAUUCAUGAGCAGUUCAAUUUGACUGAGUUAUAGGGUGAAUGAAAGGGAGUAGCAGGAGAUGAAGCUGGAAAGAUUUCCUAACACUAGGUGGUAAAAGGAACUUCUCUAACCUGGUAAGAAGUUUGGAUUUUAUUCUGUAGGCAAAAAAAUAACUCAAGCUGAGUAGAAUAUUAUAAAAUUUUUGUUUAAAAAAGAAAACUUGGCCAGGUGCGGUGGCUCACACCUGUAAUCCCAGCACUUUGGGAGGCUGAGGCAGGUGGAUCACCCAAGGUCAGGAGUUCAAAACAAGACUGGCCAACAUGGUUAAAUCCCCUCUCUACAAAAACAUAAAAAAAAAUUAGCCAGGCAUGGCCGGGCGUGGUGGCUCAUGCCUGUAAACCCAGCACUUUGGGAGGCCAAGGCGGGUGGAUCACCUUAGGUCAGGAGUUCAAAACCAGCCGGACCAACAUGGAGAAACCCCAUCUCUACUAAAAAUACAAAAUCAGCUGGGCAUGGUGGUGCAUGCGUGUAAUCCCAGCUACUCGAGAGGCUGAAGCAGAAGAAUCACUUGAACCCGGGAGGCGGAGGUUGCUGUGAGCCAAGAUCGUGCCAUUGUACUCCAGCCUGGGUGACGAGCGAAACUCCGUCUCAAAAAAAAAAAAAAAAAAAAAAAAAGCCGGGCAUGAUGGUGAGUGCCUGCAAUCCCAGCUACUCGGGAGGCUGAGGUCGGAGAAUCGCUUGAACCCAGGUGGCAAAGGUUGCAGUGAACCAAGGUCAUGCCAUUACCAUCUAUCUAGCCUGGGCAACAGAGUGAGACUCCAUCUCAAAAACAAACAAACAAACAAAACUCACUAACUUUCAGGUAUGAUGGAAUAGUUCAGACAGAAUAACGCUUCUUCUAAGAUCAGCUAGAGAAGUUAGAAAAAUAUAUAUUUUAAAUAUAUGUUUGAAGUAAUCAAAGAGCUACAGAGGAAAAUAGUAAUUAACGGGACAAAACCUUGGAGAAGGGAGAACCAUAUAGAGAAUUGAGCUGACAUUAUGCAGUCUCUUUUUUCCUCAGGACAUUUUUAAAUUCUAGGUAUAGAGCAAUAAAAGAAGAAUUCAAGCAAAGGGAUCAGGAAGAGGAUUGCUACUAAGAGGCAGAGAAACCAAUGAAGCCUUUUGCCAUCUCACACUGGAAAGACAAAAAGUCAUAGAGGCUUGAUUUUUAUAAGGAAAGAGAAGUGAGAAACUGACCUCGAUACUUUGUUGGACUUGCCUAAAGACAUUUGCUGAAUUCUCGGGCUGUGCUGGGAUGGAGAUUAGAGGCCAAAUAAAAACCUCUGGUAAGUAGUGCACAGGUUUUGGUAAUCACUUAUUGCUGAAAAGGGAGGUAUUAGAUGUCAGACCUCCAUAAGUCCUCAGGUGAAACACCUAGAUGCUAUGACCGAAGAGUCAGGAUUGAUCUAGAAGUAAACUGAACCUGUAGUCAUCUCAGUCUCGAAUGGGAACAAAGCAUUAAUCGCCUACUUGAUCUGCUAGCAAAGGAAAUAGUAAUCACUGAAGGAAGAUAAGAUAAAAUCAUCCACAACCCCUAAACAUUUUCAUACACAAUGUGCGACAUUUAAUAAAAAGUUGCUAGGCAUGGCACACCUUAUGACUGAAAAAUAACAAUAGAAAAAACACAAUAAAAACAGUUUCAAGGAAAGCCAAAUAUUAGAAUUAUUAGAAAAAUAAUUUAAGAUAGCUAUGAUUAAUAUGUCAAGAUAAUAGAGAAAAAUGGAGAAUUUUACUAGAAAAUUUGAAUCCAUAAAAUAGAAAUACUAGAACUGAAAAAUUCAAAAACUGAAAUUAAGUACUCAAUAAAAGAGUUUAACAGCACAUUAGCCAUACAAGACCAAAAUAGUAGUAAACUAGAAGAAAAGUGAAUAGAAAAUAUGCAAACUGAAGCAUAAUGUUUAAAAAGGGUGGGUAAUAUAGAAAAGAGAGUACUGUGUACUUUUGAAAUUAAAGUCUCCAAAAGAGAAAAGUACAAGAAUGGGUCAUGUAUCAGUUUGUUCUCAUGCUGCUAUAAAGAACUGCCUGAGACUGGUUAAUUUAUAAAGGAAAGAGGUUUAAUUGACUCAGUUCUGCAUGGCUGGGGAAGCCUCAGGAAACUUACAAUCAUGGUGGAAGAGGAUGGAAACAUGUCCUUCUUCACAUGGUGGCAGGAAGAAGAAGAAUGAGAGAAGUGCAGAACAAAGGGGUGGGGGAAGCCCUUCACAAAACCAUCAGAUCUUGUGAGAACUCAUUCACUAUCACGAGAACAGCAUGGGGGAACUGCCCCCGUAAUUCAUUCACCUCCCAUGAGGUCCCUCUCUGAACAUGUGGGGAUUACAAUUCAGAUUAAAAUUCAAGAUGAGAUCUCGGUGAGGACACAGAGCCAAACCAUAUCAGAUCAGAAGCAAUAUUUUAAUAAAUAAUGGCUGCAAAAUUCUCUGAAAUUAAUGAAAGACAAGCCUCAGAUUCAAGCCUACAAACCCAAAGUAAGAUGAAUUUUAAAAAUACAACCUAAGCACAUUAUAGCCAAACUGUUAAAACCAAAGACAAGUGAAAAUCUUUCAGGCAGUUAGAUUUUAAAAAAAGCAUAGUAGUUGUAAAAGCAACAAAAGACUUAAAUUCACUCCUCAGCUGAGAUGAUGGAAGAUGGAAGACAAUGAAAUAACAUUUAAAAAGUGCUGAAAGAGUUGGGUGUGGUAGCUCACACCUGUAAUCUCAGCUACAUGGAAGGAUGAGGCAGGAGUAUCACUUGAGCCCAGGAAUUUGAGACCAGCCUGGGGAACUUAGACCACAUUUCUAAAAAAAAAGAAAAAGAAAAAAUAUGAAAAGCAAAAGGUGCUGAAAGAAAAUAAUUGCCCAUCUAGAACUCUGUACCAAGCAAAAAUACUAUUCAAAAAUGAAGGCAAAUUGAAGACAUUUCUAGAUAAACAAGAGUGAAAAUAUUCAUCAUUAGCAGAUGUGAACUAAAAGAAAUACUAAAAGGAAUUCCGCAGACAAAAGAAAAAUGGUCCCACACAGAAGCAUGGAAACAUGAGAAAAUAAUAAAGAAAAAUAAAAAGAGAUGAUAUGAGGGUAAAUGUAAGUAAAUAUUCACCAUAUAUGUCAAUAAUUUAAUGUCUUAUGGGGAUUAAAAUGUAGAAUGAAUAUAGGAGCAGAAAAAUAUAAAACAGAUGUUCACUAGAAAAAAUAAACAAAACCCAAAGUGUAUUAUUUGAAAAGAACAAUAAAAUUGAUAGGCCCUUUAGCAUGACAUCAUAAAUAGAAGCAAAGACACAAAUUUUCACUAUUAGGAAGAAAAAUGAAACAUCCAUCAAGUUAUAUAGAUAUCGAAUAGAUUAAUAAGGAAUAUAAUCAAUAAUUAUGUCAUUUAAAAUUGUGGUGAAACUGAGAAAUCCCUAGAAAAACAUAGCCUACCAAAAUGGACACAAAGAGAAAAAAAAUUCAUAUAUCUAUUUUAAAAACCUAACCUAUAAUUAAAAACGUUCACACAAGUAAAACUCCAGAUUCAGUGGUUUCACCGGUGAUUUCUUUCAAACAUUAAAUGAGGAAAUAACAACAAUCUUACAUAAAUUCUCUUAGGGGAUAGAAAGAGGAAACACUUCUCUACUUUUUUGUAAGGCCAAUAUGAUCUUAAUUCUAAAACAUACAAGAAAGGAAAAUUAUAGGCCAAUUUCUAGAAGAAAAUGCUUUUAAAAAUUACCAAAUAAAGACUAGUACAUCACAACAAGUCAGGGUUAAUUUCAAUAACGCAAUGUUAGUUUCCCACUUAAAAAUCAAUCAACAUGAUUGCUGGCAAGGUGGCCAAAUAGGAACAGCUCCGGUCCACAGCUCCCAGUGAGAGAGACGCAGAAGGCGGGUGAUUUUGCAUUUCCAACUGAGGUACCCGCUUUAUCUCACUGGGACUGGUUGGACAGUGGGUGCGAGCCGAAGCAGAGUGGGGCAUUGCCUCACCUGGGAAGCACAAGGGGUUGGGGAGUUCCCUGCCCUAGCCAAGGAAAGCUGGGAGGGACUGUGAACAGUGCACUCCAGCCUAGAUAAUGCACUCUCCCCAUGGUCUUUGCAACCUGCAGACCAGGAGAUUCCCCCCGGUGCCUACACCACCAGGACCCUAGGUGUCAAGCACAAAACUGGGCAGCUAUUUGGGCAGACACCGAGCUAGCUGCAGGAAUUUUUUUUUUUUUUCAUACUCCAGUGGCACCUGGAACACCAAUGAGACAGAACCAUUCACUCCCCUGGAAAGGGGGCUGAAGCCAGGGAGCCAAGUUGUCUGGCUCGGUGGGUCCCACCCCCACAGAGCCCAGCAAGCUGAGAUCCACUGGCUUGAAAUUCUCACUGCCAGCACAGCAGUCUGAGGUCAACCUGGGAUGCUUGAGCUUGGUGCGGGGAGGGGCAUCCACCAUUGCUGAGACUUGAGUAGGUGGUUUUACCCUCACAGUGUAAACAAAGCUAUCAGGAAGUUCGAACUGGACAGAGACCACCACAGCUCAGCAAGGCCACUGUGGCCGGACUGCCUCACUAGAUUCCUCCUCUCUGGGCAGGGCAUCUCUGAAACAAAGGCAGCAGCCCCAGUCAGAGGCUUAUAAAUAAAACCCCCAUCUCCCUGGGACAGAGCACCUGGGGGAAGAGGUGGCUGUGGGCACAGCUUCAGCUGACUUAAACGUCCUGCCUGAUGACUCUGAAGAGAACAGCAGAUCUCCCAGUACAGUGCUUGAGCUCUGGUAAGGGUCAGACUGCCUCCUCAAGUGGGUCACUGACCCCCAUGUCUCCUGACUGGAAGACACUUCCCAGUAGAGGUCGACAGACACCUCCUACAGGAGAGCUCUGGCUGGCAUCUGGCAGGUGCUCCUCUGGGAUCAAGCUUGCAGAGGAAGGAACAGGCAGCAAUCUUUGCUGUUCUGCAGCCUCUGCUGGUGAUACCCAGGAAAAGAGGGCCUGGUGCAAACCUCCAGCAAACUCCAGCAGACCUGCAGCAAACGGGCCUGACUGUUAGAAUGAAAACUAACACACAGAAAGGAAUAGCAUCAACAUCAAUAAAAAGGACGUCCACUCAGAGACCCCAUCCAAAGGUCACCAACAUCAAACACCAAAGGUUGAUAAAUCCACGAAGAUGGGAAGAAACCAGUGCAAAACGGCUGAAAAUUCCAAAAAGCAGAAUGCCUCUUCUCCUCCAAAGGAUCACAACUCCCUGCCUGGAAGGGAACAAAACUGGAUGGAGAAUGAGUUUGACAAAUUGACAGAAGUAGGCUUUAGAAGGUGGAUAAUAACAAACUCCUCCGAGCUAAAGGAGCAUGCUCUAACCCAAUGCAAGGAAGCUAAGAACCUUGAAAGAAGGUUAGAUGAAUUGCUAACUAGAAUAACCAGUUUAGAGAAGAACAUAAAUGACCUAAUGGAGCUGAAAAGCACAGCACGAGAACUUUAUGAAGCAUACACAAGUAUCAAAAGCCAAAUUGAUCAAGCAGAAGAAAGGAUAUCAGAGAUUCAAUAUCAACUCAAUGAAGUAAAGCAAGAAGACAAGACUAGAGAGAAAAGAAUGAAAAGGAAUGAACAAAGCCUCCAAGAAAUAUGAGACUAUGUGAAAAGACCAAAACUACAUUUGAUUGGUGUACCUGAAAGUGACAGGGAGAAUGGAACAAAGUUGGAAAACACUCUUCAGGAUAUUAUCCAGGAGAACUUCCCCAACCUAGCAAGACGGGCCAACAUUCAAACUCAGGAAAUACAGAGAACGCCACGAAGAUUCUCCUCCAGAACAGCAACCCCAAGACACAUAAUCAUCAGAUUCACCAAGGUUGAAAUGAAGGGAAAAAUGUUAACUACAGCCAGAGAGAAACGUCUGGUUACCCACAAAGGGAAGCCCAUCAGACUAACAGCAGAUUAAUCAGCAGAAAUCCUAUAAGCCAGAAGAGAGUGGAGGCCAACAUUCAACAUUCUCAAAGAAAAUAAUUUUCAACCCAGAAUUUCAUAUCCAGCCAAACUAAGCUUCAUAAGUGAAGGAGAAAUAAAAUCCUUUACAGACAAGCAAAUGCUGAGAGAAUUUGUCACCACCAGGCCUGCCUUACAAGAGCUCCUGAAGGAAGCACUAAACAUGGAAAGGAACAACCAGUACCAGCCACUGCAAAAACAUAUCAAAUUGUAAAGACCAUCAACACUACAAAGAAACGGCAUCAACUAAUGGGCAAAAUAACCAGCUAACAUCAUAAUGACAGGAUCAAAUUCACACAUAGCAAUGUUAACCUUAAAUGUUAAUGGGCUAAUUGCCCCAAUUAAAAGACACAGACUGGCAAAUUGGAUAAAGGGUCAAGACCCAUUGGUGUGCUGUAUUCAGGAGACCCAUCUCAUGUGCAAAGACACACAUAGGCUCAAAAUAAAGGGAUGGAGGAAUAUUUACCAAGUAAAUGGAAAGCAAAAAAAAGCAGGGGUUGCAAUUCUAGUCUCUGAUAAAACAAACUUUAAACCAACAAAGAUCAAAAGAGACAAAGAAGGGCAUUACAUAAUGGUAAAGGGAUCAUGCAACAAGAAGAGCUAACUAUCCUAAAUAUAUAUGCUCCCAGUACAGGAGCACCCAGAUUCAUAAAGCAAGUUCUUAGAGACCUACAAAGAGACUUAGGCUCCCAUACAAUAAUAGUGGGAGACUUUAAUACCCCAUUGUCAAUAUUAGACAGAUCGAGACAGAAAAUUAAAAAGAAUAUUCAGGACUUGAACUCGGCUCCGGAACAAGCGGACCUAAUAGACAUCUACAGAACUCUCCACCCCAAAUCAACAGAAUAUACAUUCUCAGCACGACCUUGCACUUAUUCUAAAAUUAACCACAUAAUUGGAAGUAAAACAUGCCUCAGCAAAUGCAAAAGAAUGGAAAUCAUAACAGUCUCUCAGACCACAGGGCAAUCAAAUUAGAACUGCAAAUAAAGAACUGCAGAUUAAGAAACUCACUCAAAACCACACAACUACAUGGAAACUGAACAACCUGCUCCUGAAUGACUACUGGGUAAGUAACGAAAUUAAGGCAGAAAUGAAGAUGUUCUUUGAAACCAAUGAGAACAAAGACACAAAGUACCAGAAUCUCUGGAACACAUUUAAAGCAGUGGUUAGAGAGAAAUUUAUAGCACUAAAUGCCCACAAGAGAAAGAAGGAAAGAUCUAAAAUUGACACUCUACCAUCAAAAUUAAAAGAACAGAGAAGCAAGAGCAUACAAAUUCACAAGCUAGCACAAGGCAAGAAAUAACUAAGAUCAGAGCAGAACUGAAGGAGUUAGAAACACAAAAUAAAAUACUUCAAAAAAAUCAACGAAUCCAGGAGCUGUUUUUUUUUUAAAAGAUCAACAAAAUAGAUAGAUUGGUAGCCAGACUAAUAAAGAAUAAAAGAGAGAAGAAUCAAAUAGAUGCAAUAAAAAUAAAGGGGAUAUCACCACUGAUCCCACAGAAAUACAAACUACCAUCAGAGAAUACUAUAAACACCUCUACACAAAUAAACUAGAAAAUCUAGAAGAAAUGCAUAAAUUCCUGGACACAUACACCCUCCUAAGACUAAACCGGGAAGAAGUGGAAUCCCUGAAUAGACCAAUAACAAGUUCUGAAAUUGAGGCAGUCAUUAAUAGCCUCCCAACCAAAAAAAGUCCAGGACCAGACAGAUUCACAGCCAAAUUCUACCAGAGGUACAAAGAGGAGCUGGUACCAUUCCUUCUGAAACUAUUCCAAACAAUAGAAAAAGAGGGAAUCCUCCCUAACUCAUUUUAUGAGGCCAGCAUCAUUCUGGUACCAAAACCUGGCAGAGACACAACAAAAAAAGAAAAUUACAGGUGAAUAUCCUUGAUGAAAAUCAAAACGAAAAUCCUCAAUAAAAUACUGGCAAACCAAAUCCAGCAGCACAUCAAAAAGCUUAUCCACCAAGAUCCAGUUGGCUUCAUCCUUGGGAUGCAAGGCUGGUUCAACAUAUGCAAACCAAUAAACGUAAUCCAUCACAUAAACAGAACCAAUGACAAAACCACACGAUUAUCUCAAUAGAUGCAGAAAAGGCCUUCGACAGAAUUCAACAGCCUUCAUCCUAAAAACUCUGAGUAAACUAGGUAUUGAUGGAACAUAUCUCAAAAUAAUAAGAGUUAUUUAUGACAAACCCACAGCCAAUAUCAUACUGAAUGGGCAAAAACUGGACGCAUUCCCUUUGAAAACCAGCACAAGACAAGGAUGCCCUCUCUUACCACUCCUAUUCAACAUAGUAUUGGAAGUUCUGGCCAGGGCAAUCAGACCAGAGGAAGAAAUAAAGGGUAUUCAAACAGGAAAAGAGGAAUUCAAAUUGUUCCUGUUUGCAGAUGACAUGAUUGUAUAUUUAGAAAACACCAUUGUCUCAGCCCCAAACCUCCUUAAGCUGAUAAACAACCUCAGCAAAGUCUCAGGAUACAAAAUCAAUGUGCAAAAAUCACAAGCAUUCCUAUACACCAAUAACAGAAAAACAGAGCCAAAUCAUGAGUGAACUCCCAUUCACAAUUGCUACAAAGAGAAUAAAAUACCUAGGAAUAUAACUUACAAGGGAUUUGAAGGACCUCUUCCAAGAAAACUACAAACCACUCCUCAGGGAAAUAAGACAGGACACAAAUAAAUGGAAAAACAUUCCAUGCUCAUGGAUAGGAAGAAUCAAUAUCCUGACAAUGGCCAUACUGCCCAAAGUAAUUUAUAGAUUCAAUGCUAUCCCCAUCAAGCUACCAUUGACUUUCUUCACAGAAUUACAAAAAUCUGCUUUAAAUUUCAUAUGGAACCAAAAAAGAGCCCACAUAGCCAAGACAAUCCUAAGCAAAAAGAACAAAGCUGGAGGCAUCACGCUACCUGACUUCAAACUAUACUACAGGGCUACAGUAACCAAAACAGCAUGAUAUUGGUAACAAAACAGAUAUAUAAACCAAUGGAACAGAACAGAGACCUCAGAAAUAACACCACACAUCUACAACCAUCUGAUCUUUGACAAACCUGACAAAAACAAUGGGGAAAGGAUUCCCUGUUUAAUAAAUGGUGUUGGGAAAACUGGCUAGCAACCUGCAGAAAGCUGAAACUGGAUCCCUUCCUUGCACCUAAUACAAAAAUUAAAUCAAGAUGGAUUAAAGACUUAAAUGUAAAACCUAAAACCAUAAAAACCCUAGAAGAAAACUUAGGUAAUACCAUUCAGUACAUAGGCAUGGGCAAAGACUUUGUGACUAAAACACCAAAAGCAAUGGCAACAAAAGCCAAAAUAGACAAAUGGGAUCUAAUUAAACUAAAGAGCUUCUGCACAGCAAAAGAAACUGUCAUCAGAGUGAACAAGCAACCUACAGAAUGGGAGAAAAUUUUUGCAAUCCAUCUGACAAAGGGCUAAUAUCUAGACUCUACAAAGAAUUUAAACAAAUUUACAAGAAAAAAACAACCCUGUCAAAAAGUGGGUAAAGGAUAUGAACGGGCACUUUGUAAAAUUAGACAUUUAUGUGGCCAACAAACAUAUGAAAAAUAGCUUAUCAUGACUGGUCAUUAGAGAAAUGCAAAUCAGAACCACAAUGAGAUACCAUCUCACACCAGUUAGAAUGGCGAUCAUUAAAAAGUCAGGAAACAACAGAUGCUGGAGAGGAUGCCAAGAAAUAGGAACACUUUUGCACUGUUGGCAGGAGUAUAAAUUAGUUCAACCAUUGUGGAAGACAGUGUGGCGAUUCCUCAAGAAUCUAGAACUAGAAAUAUCAUUUGACCCAGCAAUCCAAUUACUGGGUAUAUACCCAAAAGAUUAUAAAUCAUUCUACUAUAAAAACACAUGUACACAUAUGUUUAUUGCAUAAACAAUAUGCAGUAUUCACAAUAGCAAAGACUUGGAACCAACCCAAAUGCCCAUCAAUGAUAGACUGUAUAAAGAAAACGUGGCACAUAUUCACCACGGAAUACUAUGCAGCUAUAAAAAAAGGAUGAGGUCAUUACCUUUCCAGGGACAUGGAUGAAGCUGGAAACCAUCAUUCUCAGCAAACUAACACAAGAACAGAAAACCAAACACUGCAUUUUCUCACUCAUAAGUGGGAGUUGAACAAUGAGUACACAUGGACACAGGGAGGGGAACAUCAUGCACUGGGGCCUCUCAGGGGGCAGGGACUAGGGGAGGGAUAGCAUUAAGAGAAAUACCUAAUACGGAUGACGGGUUGAUGGGUGCAGCUAACCAGCAUGUCACGUGUAUACCUAUGUAACAAACCUGCAUAUUCUGCACAUGUACCCCAGAACUUAAAAGUAUAAUUAGAAAGAAAAAGAAAAAAGAAAAAUCAACUUAAUUUACCACAUAUAAAAAGAAGUGGGAGUAAGAGAAAUUUUCAGUCAACAACAUGUUGUACUUAUAAAAAUUCAAAAGACCACAGAAAGAAUCUUAGAAUUAUAGUUAUUGGAAGUCCUAGCCAGAGCAAUCAGGCAAGAGAAGGAAAUAAAGGGCAUCCAAAUUGGAAAAGAGGAAGUCAAACUAUCCCUGGUUUCCGAUGAUAUGACUGUGUACCUAGAAAACCCUAAAGACUCCUCCAAAAGACUUCUGUAUUUGAUAAAUGAAUUCAGUAAAGUUUCAGAUUACAAAAUCAGUGUACACAAAACAGUGGCACUGCUAUAAAACAACCAGGGUGAGAAUCAAAUCAAGAACUCAAUCCCUUUUACAAUAGCUGCAAAAGAAAAAAAAUACAUAGGAAGAUACUUAACCAAAGAGAUGAAAGAUCUCUACGAGGAUAACUACAAAACAUUGCUGAAAGAAAUUAUAGAUGACACAAACAAAUGGAAAUAUAUCCCAUAUUCAUGGAUUGAAAGGAUCAAUAUCGUGAAAAUGACCAUAUUGCCCAAAGCAAUCUACAGAUUCAAUGUAAUUCUUAUCAAAAUACCACAUCGUUUUCCACAGAAUUAGGAAAUUGAUCCCAAAAUUGAUAUGGAUCCAAAAAAGAGCCUGAAUAGCAAUCCUAAACAAAAAGAACAAAUCUAGAGUUAUCACAUUACUCGAAUUUCAAAUUAUACUAUAAGACUAUAGUAACCGAAACAGCAUGGUACUUGUAUAAAAGUAAAUACAUAGACCAAUGGAACAUAAUAGAGAACCCAAAAAUAAAGCCAUGCACUUACAACCAACUGAUCUUUGACAAAGCAUACAAAAACACAAAUUAGGGAAAGGAUACCCUAUACAAUAAAUGGUGCUGGGCAAACUGGAUGCCCACAUGUAGCAGAAAGAAACUGGAUCCCUAUCUCUCAUCGUGUACAAAAAUCAACUCAAGAUGAAUUGAAGUCUUAAAUCUAAGACUUGAAGCCAUAAAAAUUCUAGAAGAAAACCUAGGAAAACCUAGAAUUUAUGACUAAGACUCCUAAAGCAAAUACAACAAAAGCAAAAAUAAAUAAAUGAAACCUAAUUAUAACUAAAAAUCUUCUGCAUAGCAAAAAUAAUAAUCAGAGUAAACAGACAACCCACAGAAUGGGAGAAAAUACUUGAAAACUAUGCAUCCAACAAAGGAUUAAUAUCCAGAAUCUACAAGGAACUCAAACAAAUCAGUAAGAAAAAAACAAAUAAUCCCAUCAAAAAUUGGGCAAAUGACAUUUCUCAAAGGAAGAUGUACAAAUGACCAACAAACAUGAAAAAAUGCUCGACAUCAUUAAUCAUCAGGAAAAUGCAAAUUAAACUACAGUGAGAUACCAUCUUACCCCCGCCAGAAUGGCCAUUAUUGAAAAGUCAAAAAACAACAAAUGUUGGCAUUGAUGUGGUGAAAGGGGAAUGAUGUUUUUUUGUUGUUGUUGUUUUUUGUUUUGAGAUAGGGUCUCACUCUGUCACCCAGACUGGAGUGCAGUGGCAUGAACAUGGUUCACUGCAGUCUCAAGCUCCUGGGCUCAAGUGAUGCUCCCACCUCAGCCUCCCAAGUAGCUGGGACUAUGGGUAUGUGCCACCAUGCCUGGCUAAUUAAAAAAAAUUUUUUUUUGUAGAGACAGGGUCUCACUAUGUUGCCCACGUUGGCCUUGAACUCCUGGGCUCAAGUGAUCCUCCCACCUCAGCCUCCCAAAGUGCUGGGAUUACAGUCAUGAGCCACUUCACCCAACCACAAAUGCUUAUACACUACUGGUGGAAAUGUAAAUUAGUACUAUCUCUAAAAAUAGUGUGGAGAUUUCUCAAACAACUAAAAGUAGAUCUAGUCCAGGUGCAGUGGCUCACGCCUGUAAUCCUAGCAUUUUGGGAGGCCAAGGCAAGAGGAUUGCUUGAUCCCUGGAGUUCCCGACUAGCCUGGGCAACAUGGUGAGACCAUGUCAAUACAAACAAAUAAGUAAAAUAUUAGCCACAGGAGUUGCCAGCCUGUGGUCCCAGCUAGGAGAUGAGCUGUGGUCUCAGGAGGCUGAGGUGGGAGGAUUGCUUGAGUUCAGGAGGUAGAGGCUGCACUGAGCCAUUUUCAUGCCACUGCACUCCAGCCUCAGUGACAGACUGAGUCCUUGUCUCAAAAAAAAAAAAAAAAAAAAAAAAGAUCUACCAUUUGAUCCAGCAAUCCCACUACAGGGUAUCUACCCAAAGGAAAAGAAGUCAUUAUUUCAAAAAAAGACACCUGCACACAUAUGUUUAUUGCAGCACAAUUCACAAUUGCAAAGAUAUGGAACCAACCUAAGUGUUCAUCAGCUGAUGAAUGGAUAAAGAAAACAUGGUAUAUAUACACCAUCGAGAACUACUCAGCCACGAAAAAAUGAAAUGAUGUCUUUUGCAGCAACUUGGAUGGAGCUGGAGGUCAUUAUUCUAAGUGAAGUAACUCAGGAAUGGAACAAAUACCGUAUUUUCUCACUUAUAAAUGGGAGCUAAGCUAUGGGUAUGCAAAGGCAUACAGAGUGGUAGAAUGGACAUUGGAGACUGACAAGGGGGAGGGGUGAAAUGAGGAUAAGGGAUAAAAAACUGCAUAUUGGGUACAGUGUCCACUACUCAGGUGACAGGUACAUUAAACUCUCAGACUUUCAACUAUACAAUUAAUCCAUGUAACCAAAAACCACUUGUACCCCUAAAGCUAUUGAAAUUUAAAAAGGAAAAAAAAGAAUUAUAGUUAUUAAUGUAGAAUAACUAUAAGUAAAUUUAACAAUUUUGUGAAAUGAGAUCAACAUACAAAAAAUCAAUUUUUUAAAUAUUAGCAACAAAGUAACAAAAAAAGAAAUAAGGAAGAUGAUAUUACUUACAAAAAAUUAAAAACCUUAGAAUAAAUCUAAUCAAAGAUAUAAAAGAUCUUUUUAAGUAGCUUUAAAUAAAUGGAGGGUUAUAUCAUGUUAAUGGGGUGGAAGACUCACGAUUGUAAAGAUUUUAGUUCCCCCCAAAUCGAUAGAUUUAAUCUAAUCCUAAUCAAACUCCCAGCAGGUUUAUAUAAAAAUAAGCUGAUUCUAAAAUAUAUAUAAAAACAAAUGUGCCGCAUAUUGCAAAGGUGUGCUUGAAGAAGAUUUGUAGAUAUUACUACUAGAUUCUAAAACUUACAGUGAUCGUAAUUAAGACAGUGUGGUAUUAGCACAGAUAGGCAAGCUGACUAGAUAACAGAAUAGAAAAUCCAGAAAUAGACCACUAUUGAUUUUUUUUUUAUAAAGGUGUUAUUGUAGUGCAGUGGGUAUGGUCUUCCCAAUAAAUGGUGCUGUGCCAAUCAGAUAUCUAUAAGUAAAAUACAUGUAUCCAGAACGCUUCUUCUUUACAAAAACCACAAGAAGGAUUUUAGACCUAAUGUAACAGAUUAAACUAACGAAGCUUUCAGAAGAAAGCAUAAGAGAAUAUCUUUAUGACUUUGGGGUUGGCAAAGACUUCAUUAAAAAAGUAUUCAUCAUACUUUAUUGAUACAUUGAAAAAUUGGGCUCCAAGAAAAAUGAGAGCUGCUCUUUCUCAAAAGACACCAUAAUGGGAGCAAAGGCAAACGACACACUUGAAGUAGAUAUUUGCAGAGUAUACACUUGGCAAAGGACUUGUAUUCUGAAAAGGAUUUAGGUAACAGGAAGGAGCUCCUUACAGUAGGGAAUCCAUUCAGAAGUUCAAACUGGUUUAGAGACACCUUGAUUUAACACAAUCACACUUCGGGCUCUCAAAUGACUCCAGCUCACCCACCUUAUGUAUACAUAUGUGUGUGGGGGGGGGGAUGGUCACACUACACUAAAACGAAAGUAGUUGGAGCUCCAUCCCCUUAUUCCUCUAUUUCUAUGAAUUCUCCUGGUCUUUGCCCUUUGUUUCCUGUGCCCCUACUAAAUGCCAUCUCAGUUUAUCCUUCCUCCUGUUUCCACCUCUCCUCUUCCCAACUAAUGUGGGAUAUAGCAUUGGUUUUUGUGUUGUUUUCAAUUCCCACAAACUAUCACUAACAUAUGGUAGUUGUGUAGUGCACCCCUGUACCAAAAAGCUUCUUUGGAGGCAGUGGCAGGGACGGGCAGGGGCAGUGGUAAUGAGGAUAAGCAAGCACCAAUAGUUAGACUUCCUUGUUCUCAUUUCCUCAGUCACUCUCAUCUCCCCAACCCCCUUUCGCACCAUGGGUUCCAGUUUACUGGGUUGCAAGGUCCUAUCCCUCUAUCUGAAAGUUUUUUCAGGAAACUCCAGAUUCUUUUUUUUUUUUUUUUUUUUGACAGAGUUUCACUCUUAAUUCUUUAUCAUGUAGACUAAACCAUUUAGCUUUCUUUGUCUCACUCCUCUGCCUUUUGUGAUCAUGUCCUGUGGCUGAUCUUUCAGCAAACUCCAUUGACUUAUUUCACCAAGCAAAGGAGAGGCAUCUAGAUAGGGAUUUGGGGACUAUCUUAAAGAAUUAUUCUUUAAAAUCCCAAAUUGAAUUCAUUAACGUAAGACACACCCUUCUCUCCUCCCAACGUGGUUCUUACACCAAGUUCUUCCUUUUCUUUUUCUUUAAAAUUUUUUCAGGGGGUUCACACUGCAUUGUCUAGGCUUGUUAGAAACUAUGGGUUCUUGGGCUCUCAAUGCAAUAGAAAUUGAUGUGAGGCCCAAAGAGUUUUCCUGAGACUUCACUGGAGCUUAUGCAUGGGCAUAAGGGAGGCAGCACAAGAGAGAGAGAAUUCCCUCACUGACUCUUUGAAAAGGUUGGGAUUUUUAUUAGGCAAAGUGCAAGAAUUGAUACUGGGGGUAGGGUAUACAGGCUGGGCUGGGUAAAGCACGUGAGGGGUAGGGUAUAGAGGUCUGCACAUCUGGUUGUGAUGGUUGUAUUGAGUAAUGGGCCAACUGGCGGUCUCACCCAUGGCAACAAGGCUGUAAAUCAAUUGUUCAGCUUUUGAUUUUACAAGCUUAUGGGUGGAGAGCACUUACCUUGUCUCAAAGAGACUUUGGACUUGGACUUUUGGGUUAAUGCUGGAAUGAAUUAAGACUUUGAGGGAGUGUUGGGAAGGCAUGAUUGGUUUUGAAAUGUGAAAAAGACCUGAGAUUUGGGAGGGGCCAGGGGCAGAAUGAUAUGGUUAGGCUUUGUGUUCCCACCCAAAUCUCAUCUUGAAUUGAAAUUUCCAUAAUCCCUAUAAUCCCCACGUGCCAAAGGAGAGACCAGGUGGAUGUAAUUGAAUCAUGGGGGCAGUUCCUCCAUGCUGUUCUCACGCUAGUGGGUGAGUUCUCACAAGAUCUGAUGGUUUUGUAAGGGGCUUUUCCCCCUUUGCUCGGCAAUUCUCCUUCCUGCUGCCUUGUGAAGAAGGUGCCUGGGUUUCCCUUCACCUUCUGCCAUGAUUUUAAGUUUCCCGAGGCCUCCCCAGCCAUGCUGAACUGUGAGUCAAUUAAGCCUCUUUCCUUUAUAAAUUACCCAGUUUUGGGCAGUUCUCUUUUUUUGAGACGGUGUUUGAACCAAUACAAGAACCUUACAUUUACAAGUAAGUGUAGUCUGAAAGUAUUUCAUCUUCAAGUAGAUUCAUGAAAAUAACUGAUAGGUUCAGGUUUCUGGUAACUUUGUUAUACCUUGAAUUGGGUAAGGAUUUCCAGAACUCUGAUAAGGAAACUCUUGGGUUCAUAAAAUUGCUAGAACCAAAAUCUAGCAGAACAAGAAUUAGUUACAUGAGACUAAAUGAACUCAUGACAUUUUAUUUGAAUCAUUGCUGGUUUUGUUUUCCAGAUUUAAGGAAAAUUUUCUUUUUUCUCUUAGACUACCUAUUGCUUACAGCAGCUUGGUAGAUUACUCCUUUAUAAACAAAAUACAAUUACUUUUUCUCCCUACUUGACCCGUCCAGAAUUCAGAAGCUAUUAGUGACUAUCCUUUUUUCAUGGCAAUAAAGUUAUUUAUGUAAGUUCAAUAAGAAUCUGUUCUCUUCGUAACAGAACAUAAUUGGAAGCAUUGGUUUUAUAACCAAGGUUUUGACUGGAACGUCGUACUUGAGAAUGUGUAUAGAUCAGAUAUGACCAAGCGAUGCAGAAUUUUUGUUCCUUAGUUAAGCUAAAUCUGGAUUCUUCUGCCACGACCAGGAAAAAUUAGGCAUGUGGACACUCUGAAGGGUGAGGACAGUGGAAUUUAUUGGGCAAAAAGGAAGAAAAAAAAAACUUUCAGCAAAGUGAGGGGUGUCCUGCCAAUGGCCUCCCACCUCACAGAUUGAAUAUCAGGCCCCCACACAUGAGCUGAAGAGCCAGACUCCUCCCCCUGCAUAAGGUGCAAAUUCCUGGUCACUCCACCCCAUUCCUCCAGUGCACAUGUGGGCAUUAUUCAGAAAGAAUCAGUUGGGAAAGGGUGGACAAACAGGGGCAGUUCUCCCUCUGGGUCGUGUUUUUCAUCUGGGACCAGCAGUCCAAUCUUUCAGCCUUCAGGCUGUUUUAGGCCUGAAGGUUGGGUUUCACUGGGUACUCUUCACUGUCUACUGUCUCUAUCACAAGCAGCUUCAAGAAACUAAGGUUGAGGCCCAAUGGCUCAUGCCUCUAAUGUAAUCCCAGCACGAUGGGAGGGUGAAGCACGUGGAUUGCUUGAGUUCAUGAGUUUUUGACCAACCUGAGCAACAUGACGAAAACUCGUCUCUACAAAAAAAAAAAAAAAAAAAAAAUACAAAAAAUUAGCCAGGCAUGGUAAGGCGCGCCUGUAGUCUUAGCUACUCAGGAGGCUGAGGUGGGAGGAUGGCUUGAGCCUGGGAGGCAGAGGAUGCAGAGAGGCGGAGGUUGCAGGCAGACAGAGGUUGUAUUGAGCUGAGAUGGCGCCACUGCCCUCCAGCCUUGGUGACAGAGCAAGACCCUGUCUCAAAAAAAAUAAAAAUUUAAAAAAGAAACGAAGGUGGAUUUUAUAAUGCCAAUUAAUCUCUCUUCCCUUUGGAAAAACUGGACUGAUACCCGGCUUACAGGGUUCUGGGCCUUACAGGUGAGAAAAGAAUGUCACUUCCUGGCAGGCCCAGGACCCUAGGAUAUCUUGAGGAUCUCAACAAGAGAAGAAUUCAUCCAAAUCUGUAGGUAUUGUUAUUGGAAAGGGGUACUAAUACAGACUCCAUUUAAUACAGACACAUUUAACGCAGUGUGUCGAGGGAACUUUAUAGCACUAAAUGCCCACAAGAGAAAGAAGGAAGGAUCUAAAAUUGACACCCUAACAUCACAAUUAGAAGAACUAGAGAAACAAGAGCAAACAAAUUCAAAAGCUAGCAGAAGGCAAGAAAUAACUAAGAUCAGAGCAGAACUGAAGGAGAUAGAGACACAAAAAACCCUUCAAAAAAUCACUGAAUCCAGGAGCUGUUUUUUUAAAAAGAUCAACAAAGUUGACAGACUGCUAGUAAGACUAAUAAGAAAAGAGAAGAAUCAAAAAGACGCAAUAAAAAAUGAUAAAGGGGAUAUCUCCACUGAUCCCACAGAAAUACAAACUACCAUCAGAAAAUACUAUAAACACCUCUAUGCAAAUAAACUAGAAAAUCUAGAAGAAAUAGAUAAAUUCCUGGACACAUACACCCUCCCAAGACUAAACCAGCAAGAAGUGGAAUCCCUGAAUAGACCAAUAACAGGCUCUGAAAUUGAGGCAAUAAUUAAUAGCCUAACAACCAAAAAAGUCCAGGACCAGACAGAUUCACAGCCGAAUUCUACCAGAGGUACAAAGAGGAGCUGGUCCCAUUCCUUCUGAAACUAUUCCAAUCAAUAGAAAAAGAGGGAGUCCUCCCUAACUCAUUUUAUGAGGCCAGCAUGAUCCUGAUACCAAAACCUGGCAGAGACACAACAAAAAAAGAGAAUUUUAGACUAAUAUCCCUGAUGAAUAUCUAUGCGAAAAUCCUCAAUAAAAUACUGGCAAACCGAAUCCAUCAGCACAUCAAAAAGCUUAUCCACCAAGAUCAAGUCGGCUUCAUCCCUGGGAUGCAAGGCUGGUUCAACAUGCUCAAAUCAAUAAACGUAAUCCAUCACAUAAACAGAACCAAAGACAAAAACCACAUGAUUAUCUCAAUAGAUGCAGAAAAGGUCUUUGACAAAAUUCAACAGCGCUUCAUGCUAAAAACUCUCAGUAAACUAGGUAUUGAUGGAACAUAUCUCAAAAUAAUAAGAGCUAUUUAUCACAAACCCACAGCCAAUAUCAUACUAAAUGGGCAAAAACUGGAAGCAUUCCCUUUGAAAACCGACACAAGGCAGGGAUGCCCUCUCUCACCACUCCUGUUCAGCAUAGUGUUGGAAGUUCUGGCCAGGGCAAUCAGGCAAGAGGAAGAAAUAAAGGGUAUUCAAUUAGGAAAACAGGAAGUCAAAUUGUCUCUGUUUGUAGAUGACAUGAGUGUAUAUUUAGAAAACCCCAUCGUCUCAGCCCAAAAUCCCCUUAAGCUAAUAAACAACUUCAGCAAAGUCUCAGGAUAGAAAAUCAAUGUGCAAAAAUCACAAGCAUUCCUGUACGCCAAUAACAGACAGAGAGCCAAAUCAUGAGUGAACUCCCAUUCACAAUUGCUACAAAGAGAAUAAAAUACCUAGGAAUCCAACUUGCAAGGUAUUUGAAGGACCUCUUGAGGGCGAACAAUAAACCACUGCCCAACGAAAUAAAAGAGGACACAAACAAAUGGAAGAACGUUCCAUGCUCAUGGAUAGGAAGAAUCAAUAUCGUGACAAUGGCCAUACUACCCAAGGUAAUUUAUAGAUUCAGUGCCAUCCCCGUCAAGCUACCAAUAACUUUCUUCACAGAAUUGGAAAAAACUACUUUAAAGUUCAUAUGGAACCAAAAAGAGCCCGCAUUGCCAAGACAAUCCUAAGCAAAAAGAACAAAGCUGGAGGCAUCAUGCUACCUGACUUCAAACUAUACUACAAGCCUACAGUAACCAAAACAGCAUGAUACUGGUACAAAAACAGAGAGAUAGACCAAUGGAACAGAACAAAGGCCUCAGAAAUAACACCACACAUCUACAACCAUCUGAUCUUUGACAAACCUGACAAAAACAAGCAAUGGGGAAAGGAUUCCCUAUUUAAUAAAUGGUGUUGGGAAAACUGGCUAGCCCUAUGUAGAAAGCUGAAACUGGAUCCCUUCCUUACAUCUUAUACAAAAAUUAAUUCAAGAUGGAUGAAAGACUUAAACGUUAGACCUAAAGCCAUAAAAAUCCUAGAAGAAAACCUAGGCAAUACCAUUCAGGACAUAGGCAUGGGCAAGGACUCCAUGACUAAAACACCAAAAGCAAUGGCAACAAACGCCAAAAUAGACAAAUGGGAUCUAAUUAAACUAAAGAGUUUCUGCACAGCAAAAGAAACUAUCAUCAGAGUGAACAGGCAGCCUACAGAAUGGGAGAAAAUUUUUGCAGUCUACCCAUCUGACAAAGGGCUAAUACCCAGAAUCUACAAAGAACUUAAACAAAUUUACAAGAAAAAAUCAAACAACCCCAUCAAAAAGUGGGCAAAGGAUAUGAACAGACACUUCUCAAAAGAAGAUAUUUAUGCAGCCAACAGACACAUGAAAAAAUGCUCAUUGUCACUGAAUGCUCAUGCAUUUCUCAUCAGAAAUGCAAAUCAAAACCACAAUGAGAUACCAUCUCACACCAGUUAGAAUGGUGAUCAUUAAAAAAGUCAGGAAACAACAGGUGCUGGAGAGUAAGUGGAGAAAUAGGAACGCUUUUACACUGUUGGUGGGAGUGUAAACUAGUUCAACCAUUGUGGAAGUCAGUGUGGCGAUUCCUCAAGGAUCUAGAACUAGAAAUAUCAUUUGACCCGCCAUCCCAUUACUUGGUACAUACCCAAAGGAUUAUAAAUCAUGCUACUAUAAAGACACAUGCACACGUAUGUUUAUUGUGGCACUAUUCACAAUAGCAAAGACUUGGAACUAACCCAAAUGUCCAUCAAUGAUAGACUGGAUUAAGAAAAUGUGGCACAUGUACACCAUGGAAUACUAUGCAGCCGUAAAAAAGGAUGAGUUAAUGUCCUUUGUAGGGACAUGGGUGAAGCUGGAAACCAUCAUUCUGAGCAAACUAUCGCAAGAACAGAAAACCAAACACCACAUGUUCUCACUUAUAGGUGGAAAUUGAACAAUGAGAACACUGGGACACAGGGCGGGGAACAUCACACACUGGGGUCUGGCAUGGGGUGGGGGUAUGGGGGAGGAAUAGCAUUAGGAGAAAUACCUAAUGUAAAUGACAAGUUAAUGGGUGCAGGAAACCAACAUGGCAUAUGUAUACCUAUGUAAAAAAAAACCCGCAUGUUGUGCACAUGUACCCUGGAACUUAAAGUACUAAAAAAAAAAAAAAAAAAAAAAAAAUAGUCUGACUCUUGUAGAGCUCUGGCAAUGGCUAAUUAAUUAUGGUGUUUCUAGAAGUUAAAUCGACAGGAAGCCUACUGCAUUUCUGCUUAAUUUAUAAAAGCAGAAAACUUCUAGGUCGAAUGGACAAAAUACUGAUUUGAAUUAUAAAAAGAGAGAAUCACAGCCCCUCAAUUUCCAGACUUGAGCCAGUUUACAGAUCUGGAGCCCCUUGAAUGAAGGGGAGGCCAGGUACCCUUCAGGAAGGACCCCACUACAUUACCAACAAUUUAUGUAGUGAAUCUUUCACCCAUCCUUCCUCAAGGAGACCUCUGGCCUUUUACCAGGGUAACUGUGCACUGGGGAAAGGGAAAUGAUCAGAUAUUUCAGGAACUGUUGGACACUGGCUCUGAGCUCACAUUGAUUCCAGGGGACCCAAAACAUCAUUGUUGUCCUCCAAUUGAAGUAGGGUCUUAUGAAGAUCAGGUAAUUAAUGGAGUUUUAGCUCAGGUCCGACUUAACAUUGGGUGCGCUGGUUCCCUAGACUUAUCCUGUGGUCAUUUCCCCAGUGUCAGAAUGCAUAUUUGGCAUAGACAUCCUUAGCAGCUGGUAGAACCCCCACAUUGGCUUCCUGACUGGUAGGGUGAGGGCUAUUAUGGUGGCAAAGGUCAAAUCAAAGCCAUUAGAGCUGCCUCUACCUAGAAAAAUAGUAAAUCAAAAACAACAUCACAUCCCUGGAGGGACUGUGGAGAUUAGUGCUACCAUCAAAGAUUUGAAAGAUACAGUGGUGGUGAUUCCCAAAACAUCCCUGUUCAACUUUCCUAUUUGGUCUGUGAAGAAGACAGAUGGGUCUUGGAGAAUGACAGUGGAUUAUUGUAAGCUUAACCAAGUGGUGACUCCAAUUGCAGCUGCUGUACAAGAUGCGGUUUCAUUGCUUGAGCAAAUUAACACAUCUCCUGGUACCUGGUAUGCCACCAUUGACUUGGCAAGUGCAUUUUUUUCCAUUCCUGUUCAUAAGGCCCACUAGAAGCAAUUUGCCUUCAGCUGGCAAGGCCAGCAAUAUGCUUUUACUGUCCUACCUCAGGGAUAUAUCAACUCUCUGGCUUUGUGGUAUAAUCUUUUUCGGAGAGACCUUGAUUGCUUUUCGCUUCCACAAGAUAUCACACUGGUCUAUUACAUUGAUGCCAUUAUGCCGUUUGGAUCCAGUGAGCAAGAAGUAGUAAACUCACUGGACUUAUUGGUGAGACAUUUGUGUGCCAUAGGAUGGGAAAUAAAUCUGGGUAAAAUUCAGGGAACUUCCACCUCAGUAAAAUUUCUAGGAGUCCAGUGGUGUGGGGUCUGUCGAGACAUUCCUUCUAAGGUGAGGGUUACGUUGCUGCAUUUGGCCCCUUCUACAACCCAGGAAGGGGCACAAUGCCUAGUGGGCCUAUUUGGAUUUUGCAGGCAACACAUUCCUCAUUUGGAUGUGUUACUCCGGCCCAUUUGUCAAGUGACCCAAAAUGCUGCCAGUUUUGAGUGGGGUCCAGAACAGAAGGCUCUACAACAGAUCCAGGCUGCUGUACAAACUGCUCUGCUACUUGGGCCAUAUGACCCAGCAGAUCCAAUGGUGCUUGAGGUGUCAGUGGCAGAUAGGGAUGCUGUUUGGAGCCUUUGGUAGGCCCCCAUAAGUGAAUCACAGAAGAGGCCUCUAGGAUUUUGGAGCAAGGCCCUGCCAUCUUCUGCAGAUAACUACUCUCCUUUUGAGAGACAGCUCUUGCCUGUCACUGGGCUUUGGUGGAAACUGAACAAUUGACUAUGGGUCAUCAAGUCAGCAUAGGACCUGAACUGCCUGUCAUGAACUGGGUGCUUUCUGACCCAUCUAGCCAUAAAGUGGGUUGUGCACAGCAGCAUACCAUCUCCAAAUGAAAGUGGUAUAUAACGUGAUUGGGCUCAAGCAGGUCCUGAAGGCACAAGUAAGUUACAUGAUGGAGUGACUCAAAUGCCCAUGUUCUCCACUCCUGCCACCCUGCCUUCUCUCCCCCAGCCUGCACCAAUGGCCUCAUGGGGAGUUCCAUUUGCUCAGUUGACAGAGGAAGAGAAGAGAGGAAGAGAACUAGAGCCUGGUUCACAGAUGGUUCUACGUGAUAUGCAAGCACCACCCGAAAGUGGACAGCUGCAGCACUACAGCCCCUUUCUAGGACAUCCCUGAAGGACAAUGGUGAAGGGAAAUCUUCCUAGUGGGCAGAACUUUGAGCAGUGCACCUGGUUGUGCACUUUGCAUGGAAGGAGAAAUGGCCAGAUGUGUGAUUAUAUACUGAUUCAUGGGCUGUAGCCAGUGGUUUGGCUGGAUGAUCAGGGACUUGGAAGAAGCAUGAUUGGAAAAUUGGUGACAAAGACAUUUGGGGAAGAGGUAUGCAGAUGGACCUCUCUGAGUAGCCAAAAACUGUGAAGAUAUCUGUAUCCCACAUGAGUGCUCACCAGUGGGUGACCUCAGCAGAGGAGGAUUUUAAUAAUCAAGUGGAUAGGAUGACCUGUUCUGUGGACACCACUCAGUCUCUUUCCCCAGCCACCCCUGUCAUCGCCCAAUGGGCCCAUGAACAAAGUGGCCAUGGUGGCAGGGAUGGAGGUUAUGCAUGGGCUCAGCAACAUCGACCUCCACUCACCAAGGCUGACCUGAUUAUGGCCACUGCUGACUGCCCAAUUUGCCAGCAGCAGAGACCAGCACUGAGCCCUCAAUAUAGCACCAUUCCUGGGGGUGAUCAGCCAGCUACCUAGUGGCAGGUUGAUUAUAUUGGACCUCUUCCAUCAUGAAAAGGGCAGAGGUUUGUCCUCAAUGGAAUAGACACUUAACUCCAAAUAUGGGUUUGUCUGUCUUGCAUUCAAUGCUUCUGCCCAGACUACCAUCCAGGGAUUCAUGGAAUACCUUAUCCACCAUCAUGGUAUUCCACACAGCAUUGCCUCUGACCAAAGCACCCACUUUAUGGCUACAGAAGUGUGGCAGUGGGCUCCAUGCUCAUGGAAUUCACUGGUCUUACCACGUUCCCCAUCAUCCUGAAGCAGCUGGAUUGAUAGAAUGGAGGAAUGGCCUUUUGAAGUCACAAUUGCAAUGCCAACUAGGUGAAAAUACUUUGCAGGGUGGGGGCAAAGUUCUCCAGCAGGCCAUGUAUGCUCUGAAUCAGCGUUUAAUAUACGGUACUGUUUCUCCCAUAGCCAGGACUCACAGGUCCAGGAAUCAAGAGGUGGAAGUGGAAGUGGCACCACUCACCAUCACCCCUAGUGAUCCACCAGCAAAAUUUUUGCUGCCUCUUCCCAUGACGUUACGUUCUGUUGGCCUAGAGGUCUUAGUUCCAGAGGGAGGAACGCUGCCACCAGGAGACACAACAGCAAUUCCGUUAAACUGGAAGUUAAGAUUGCCACCUGGACACUUUGGACUCCUGCUAUCUUUAAAUCAACAGGCUAAGAAGGGAGUUACAGUGUUGACUGAGGUGAUUGACCUGGACUAUCAAGAUGAAAUCAGUCUACUACUCCACAGCAGAGGUAAGGAAGAGUAAGCAUGGAAUACAGAAGAUCCAUUAGGACAUCUCUUAGUAUUACCAUGCCCUGUGAUUAAGGUCAAUGGGAAACUACAACAGCCCAAUCCAGGCAGGACUACAAAUGACCCAGACCCUUCAGGAAUGAAGGUUUGGGUCACUCCACCAGGGAAAAAACCACAGCCUGCUGAGGUGCUUGUUGAAGGCAAAGGGAAUACAGAAUGAGUAGUAGAAGAAGGUGGUCAUCAAUACCAGCUACGACCACGUGACCAGCUGCAGAAACCAGGACUGUAAUUGUCAUGAGUAUUUACUCCUUCUUUUGUUAAAAACAUGUUUUUGCAUGUAUACACUUGUACUAAGAAAAUAUCUUUAUUUUGUUUCCUUUCUCCUUUAUCAUGUGAUGUAAGAUUUAUUGACUUGACAUCAACAUUUAAGUAUUGUUAACUUUAUGUAAUAGUAUUUGGGUUGGGGAUUGGUGUGUUUCCAGUUGUAUGAAGGAUAGUUAUGUUAGGCAUAAUUAUGACCUUAUUAUUGUCUUUAUUUGAAUAUUAUGUAUGAUCUCAGGAGAUGUGUAUGGGUUCAAGUUGACAAAGGGUGGACUUGUGAUGGUUAAUACUGAGUGUCAACUUGAUUGGAUUGAAGGAUACCAAGUAUUCAUCCUGGGUGUAUCUGUGAGGGUGUUGCCAAAGGAGAUUAACAUUUGAGUCGGUGGGCUGGGCAAGGCAGACCCACCCUUAAUCGGGUUGGGUACCAUCUAAUCAGCUGCCAGCAUGGCUAGAAUAUAAUAAGCAGAUAGAAAAUGUGAAAAAAGGUACUGGCCUAGCCUCCCAGCCUACAUCUUUCUGCCAUGCUGGAUGCUUCCUGCCCUUGAACAUCAGACUCCAAGUUCUUCAGUUCUGGAACUUGGACUGGCUCUUCUUCCUCCUCAGUCUGUAGAUGGCCUAUUGUGGGACCUUGUGAUCAUGUGAGUUGUACUUAAUAAACUAUAUAUAUAUAUAUAUAUAUAUAUAUUCCUUUAGUUCUGUCCCUCUAGAGAACGCUGACUAAUACAGACCCUGAACACAGGAGAAAAUCAAAAAUAAUUUUCCACAUCUGGCUAAAACUAUGAGCCUUACUCUAUCUAACUUACUCUGUUUUAUCCUGAGCAAGUUUAUUUUAUACCUUCAAGUCUACGAUUUUUAUUGGAUUCCCUUCCCCACCCCAAUUUAUGUCUUUGUGGCAGAAUAAUCUUAGAGAGUCUUAGAUAGUUUUGGGAGGAACUCUUUCCUCUACCAUUUGAGGUUCCAGUGGUUGGAGGCCUGCGAAUUCACUGACAAUAGAUUAAUAAGAAAAAAAACAAGGUUUAUUUCCAUGUGCAUUUGAGAGUUGCUCAAUGAUGAGCAACUCACUGAAUAACCGGAGAUAAGAAUUUAUAUAACAAUUUAAUGGGAGGGGAGGGGCUUGUGGUGUUAGAACUUGAAGGGGAACAAUGGGAAAGUACUACUGGGCUUUUUGAUGCUAAUAGGAAUGGACAGUCUGUGUCUCUUUGGCAGCUGAAUUAGCAGGAAGCUCCCUUGGAGGGUGGCUAAUGGUAGCUGUAUUUUGGGGAGGGUCUGCUAUAGUCAGAUCAGAGAUGUUCAGAUAAGAUUCCUUUCGGCAUAUUCUGUAGCUCAAAUGUUUUCACUUUAAAAUAAUCUUUAUGCCAACUUUGGGGGUCUAAAUGGGCCCCCACAGAUGUUAAGUAUGGCUUACUCAUAUCUUAGGAACUCACAAAUUCAAGUUUUCAAGAAAACAAAAUGAUUUUAAUAUCUCCCUAAAAAGUAAAACAGGGUAUAUUCUCCAAAAACAGGUAUAACACUUCAUUCCUUAUAAGCAUACAUUUUAUUGCCCUUCUAAAAUUCAGAUAACAACUUUUAACAGCUGGAUAUCUCAUGUUUGCCUAGAACAACGAGGUAUGCAUCACCAGAAGGGAUUGGAAUGUGUUUUCUUUCUUUUUUUAUGGUUCCUUGUAGCUUACCCAUCAUCAAGUUGUUGAUGGUAGAGAAUCACUACUGGAUCAAGGACCAGAUUAUCCUUAAUAACCUAAUCAUCAGCCUGUUCAGAAAAUUUUGGCUUUAAUCCCUAGUGGGUGAGCUCUUAGUAAUCUCUUCCAGACUAUUGUGAAGUAUGCUAUACUAAGCUCUAUCAGUGUUUUACCAGAAAUUCUCUUCCUUGAGUACUAAUCCUAAUGCUUGUGAGACAGGAUAUUGUCUUGGGACAUUUAAAAAUGUUGCCUUCAAUUUUACUAUUUUAAAAUAUUUAUUGAGUGCCAUUGAACCAGAGACCUUUGGAAAGGUCUUAUUACAAAAGGAGCCUCAGGGUUGUGUAUGCCUUUCCCAGGAACAAGAAAAUUAAAGAUAAUGAGAAUCCAGAAAAAGCACACAUGAAUGUAUAUAUAAUCAUCUCCUCUGUUUUGUUUCAGUCUUAAGAUAGUACCACCAAAGCAUCCUUACUGACAUCUACACAAAAAUAUUCUGUAUUUUUGGUCUUUGAAAAAUUAAUAUUUUCCCUCCAUUUUUGAUGAUGUGGGAGUUCUGUAGGAGUUCUUAUACCAGUUUUAGGUCAGUUUUGAAGUUUUAUGGGACAACGCUUGCUGUUUUCCACACCAGAAGUCACUUUAUUUGAAUACCAUACUUUUUUUUUCCUGCUAGCAUACUGGCAAAGACUAUUGGAAAAAAAAAAAGUGUGUAAAAUUUGAUUUUAUUGCUACCCUAAGGUGGCAUAAUUAGCCAUAAGGUGGAAAUGUGAGAAAUCUCCCACUUUGCAAAAGGAUGUCAGCGUAUCGGACCUCUGGGCUCUAUGGAAAUUGGUAAUAAAUUCUUAGAACUUUGUACCUAAUGCAGAGAAUUGUUUAGUUAGUUGCUAUCAUAAAAACAGAGAGGCAUGCCCUUCUUUUUUUGUUCUUUUUUAUUUUUUUUUUUUUAAGAUAGAAUUUUGCUCUUGUUGCCCAGGCUGGAGUGCAGUGACGUGAUCUUGGCUCACUGUAACCUCCGCCUCCUGGGUUCAAGCAAUUCUCCUGCCUCAGCCUCCUGAGUAGCUGGGAUUACAGGCACAUGCCACCAUGCCAAGCUGAGUUUUUGUAUUUUUAAUAGAGAUGGGGUUUCAUCAUGUUGGCCAGACUGGUCUCAAACUCCUGACCUCAGGUGAUCCACCCGCCUCAGCCUCCCAAAGUGCAGGGAUUACAGGUGUGAGCCACCGCACCCGGCUGCAUGCCCUUCUUUAUCCUUCUUGCUGGUUGGAAUGUGGAGGUUAUGGCUAUAGUUCCAGUAAUCACCGUGAACAAUGAGGAGGGAGCCAUGUAUUGAGGAUGGCAGAGAAAUAAGGUAGAAGCCUGGCUCUCUAUGGUCAUGGAGCUGCCAUUCUAGCCCAGGAUUAUAUGAGGAGGAAAGAAACUUCUAGUUUAUUUAUUGAAGACUUCAAGGUAACUAAAACACAUGUAUUAAUUUUCUCUUUGGGGAACAAUGUUGGCUAAUCUUUCUAUUCUGUGCAAACCUAAAUUGUUAUGGGCUAAAUGUGUCCCCCUCAAAAUUCAUGUUAAAGCACUAACCCUCUUAUUAGGUAUUAUUCAGAGAUGGGGUUUUUGACAGGUAAUUAGGUCAUGAGGGUAGAGUCCAUAUAAUAGAAUUAGAGCCAUUAGAAAAAAAAAAAAAAGGAAACUUUUUCUCUGCUCUCACACCACAGCAAUCAACACAAAAGACUUCUGUGACCAAAUGUGUGAGGGUUUUUCCCCACACACCAAGCAAGCAAUUAGUUGUAUAGGAGACACCAGCUGGGUGUCCUCUAAUUUGAUUCAAUUCUGACACUGUCUACCUGAAGUUAGCAUCAGAUCCCACAGGUUGAGGGCUCAGUGCCACAAGACUGCCUCCACUUCUGUAGCAGGACAAGCUGCAGACAAAACCCCUCAGACACCGAGUUAAGGAAGGAAAGGCUUUAUUCAGCUGGGAGCUUCGGCAAGACUCACAUCUCCAACAACCGAGCUCCCCAAGUGAGCAAUUCCUGUCCCUUUUAAGGGCUCACAACUUUAAGGGGGUCCAUGUGAGAGUGUCGUGAUUGAUUGAGCAAGCAGGGGGUACAUGACUGGGGGCUGCAUGCACCGGUAAUUAGAAUAGCACAGAACAGGACAGGGAUUUUCACAGUGCUUUUCUAUACAAUGUCUGUAAUCUAUAGAUAAUAUAAUCGAUUAGGUCAGGGGUUGAUCUUUAACGGCCAGGCCCAGGGUGUGGCACCAGGCUGUCUGCUUGUGGAUUUCAUUUCUGCCUGUUAGUUUUUACUUCUUCUUUCUUUGGAGGCAGAAAUUGGCCAUAAACAAUAUGCUCUCCUCCCUUAUUCCACCCCUUUGAGAAUUUCACUCAAUAGUGGGAGUUCUCACUUUCAUUCUCACUACCUAUGCCUUCUUGCAAGACAGAGCGAUAGUGAUUCAUAUAGUACAUUUGUGCUGAAGCAUUUUGGUGAACUAAGGUAGCAAUGAAGCUUUUUAUCAUUUGAAGAAGUACAGGUAGCAAACAAGGGAGCAUUAAGCAGGUUUCUAUUACUGUUAUAACUCCUAUUAUAAGAGUUUUAAAUAUUUUUAGGACUGGGAACCAUUUUCCAAACAUGGCCCCAGGAUCAAAUCCAUGCCACACUUGCACGGGCACAUGUGCCAGUUUUGUCAUAUUUCUAAUAACUAUGUCUUCAACUACUUGCCCUUGAUCAUCUAUGUGUAGACAGCAAUUAGUAAGGUUAAAUUUUCUACAGACCCCUCCUUCAGCUGCUAGGAAGUAGUUGAGAGCCAAUCUAUUUUGAUAGAUAGCAUUUAUCAUCUGAGUUUCUUUCCAGGCCAGAAUAGUCAAGGCUCUGCCGGUCUUAUUAGUAAUUAUUUCUAAGACUGCUUGUAACGGUAUGAUUUGGUGAGCAUGUAAAUGGGGUUCGGGUAUCCCCAUGAGCUGUCUUGUGCCCAAGUACCAGGCCUAUAAUAUUGUAUGAUUCUCUCAGGAGGCCAUUCAUCAUCUUUUUAAUUUUCUAUAGCUAUGCUUCUCUUUUUGCAGGAAGCACAGACAGGGAAGGCCAGGAGUUCACCUGUCUUUAUGGGCAGUAGGAAUAAAGAUGGUUUAAUAGUGCCAAUCACACAACUACCUGCCCACUAGUCAGGUAAUUUGAUGUAAGCUUUAUGCCCGCAUAUCCAGUAUAAUCCAGUGGGGGCUGUCCAGUCCCGGUGGGACUCCAAGUGGGUUCACACGGUUUGCAACUUUGGGAAUUUACUAAAUGGAUUUUUCUUUGUGUGGUUUGAACUCCAGCAGGUGGCUGUUUUUGUAGUAGUAUUAUACAGUUUUUGCCCAAGGCAGCUGAGUCUUCCCACAGGAAAGGUGAAGUCCUUCCCCACUCUUGCUAUACAGUAUUGUCAAUGAUUGAGGCUUUUAGGACCCAGAAGUUAUCAGCAUGAUUCUUUUGAGCCGGGAAUUAAUCAGGAACUGGGUCUGUAGGUACUAAUUCUCGGGCUUCCCGUGGCCAUUGAUCUCCUAUUACAGUUCCUCUACAUACAUAACAUGAAGUGACAUUGAGAGACUGGGCCACAUGCUCAACUAAUUGCAAAGACAAAUUUCUUGUUUUUCCUGGGAUUUCUGGUACUGGUACAUUCAGUUUAUCAUAGAAGUUGUGAAAUACUGGCUCAGGAGAGCAUUUAUAAACUUCUCCUCAAACCACGAUAUUUACUCGAGGAUCCAGUCCAGCCUCAUCGAUUUCUAGGGUUACAUGCUCCCCUUUUUUCCAGCGAGGAUCAAAGGGGUUGGUUAUUACUAGUUCUAAGGGUUUACACUGACCACUGGUACAGGAAAGGCCACUUUUCCCUUUCUGAAGGUGGACAGGAUCCUUUUUAUUAUUUAUCCAAGUAGCCUAAAUGACACAAGACUAGUAUCUACAUUCAUUUCCACACAGUCCUAAUUCAUGAAAAAUGUAAUUAUUUUCUGCCAUAUAGCCUCUUUCCUAAUUAAGAGAACUACAUCCUAUUCCUAACUUAUUACUAUUAAUGACAGCACAGGCAUCAAACUUCAAGGUGACUUGUUUGGGCACCCCUUUUACUUUUGUUUUGGCUAACACUUUACUCGUAUGAUUUAUGAGCCCCCACCAUUCCUCAGUCCUUAAUCUUAUUUCAAAAACUGUGGUCAUUGGAGGCUCAGAUGGGUCAUAACACACAUCAGGUUGGUGAUUUCCUGGGCUACAUACCUUGCAUAGAAUAGCAUUAUACAAAUAUGUUUCUUUUUAGAGUCCCAGUACACUUGUAAUAAUCAUAAAAUAAUAGGACUGUAGCAACUUUUUGUCCUACCUCAGUGACUUGAUGUAUACACUGGGAACAGUGCUCAGUCUGAGGAAGGUCAUUUAAAGUCCUUACUGUACAAGUCCAAAUUUUAAGGAAAAUGAGUCCCGCGAUGAGUUUUCUCAUGCUUCGGCCAUGCAUCAACUUCUGGGUAUGACUGGAGCAGGGCUUGUCAUCUUCUUCAGAGUCACUUUGCAGGGGCUGGCGAAGCUGCUUCUGUCCAUGUACAGCUCACAGUCUACUGAUGUUCAAGGAUGGUUUCGGAGGUUGGGCCCACUAAAAUAAACUGAGUCCAACAACUCUACAUAGUUAUGUUCAACUGGGCUCUCUGAUACCGGGAGCAAGGUGGCAGGGUUUAGGGUGUUGCAAACUUCAAUGAUUAUGUGGGGAUUUUCACAUAGCAAGCUUUGGUACUUGGUUAAUCUGGCAUUUGUUAACAAUGAUGUCCUUUGGUAAUCAUUAAAGUUACCACAGCAUGGGGGGUCUUUAUAUUCAGGUUUUACCCAAGGGUUAGUUUAUCUGCUUCUUGCGCUAACAGGGCCAUUGCUGCCAGGGCCCUUAGACAUGGGGGCCAGGCUUUGGAAAUUCCAUUUAGUUGUUUUGAGAGAUAGGCCACUGGCCUUAGCCAGGGACCUAUAGUCUGGGUUAAAACUCCAACUGCCAUUUUUUCUCUUUCUGACACAUAGGGUAUAAAAGGUUUUAUCAGGUCAGGUAGCCCCAAGGCUGGGGCCGACAUGAUUUCUUUUAACUCAUGAAAAGCUCAUUGCUGUUGGUUGUAAUAGAUGUAGUUUAUCCAAUUUACAUUUUUAUUAAGUGUCACCUACCAAAAUAUUGACUCAAAUCCUGCAGCUAUUUGAUUUCAAGCUUUAAAUUGAUCUGGUAUUCUCCAUGGGACUCCAAUUGUGUCUAAAUGGAUGUGAGAGUCGAAAGACCCAUAAGGGGCUCCUCUCGCUUUACAAUGUCUUAUUUUCCUCCCUCUGGUUGAUAAAAUGCCAGGGUGAAAGGGAUAGCCAAUUGGACUAAAGUACAAGAGCCACUCCAGUUAUUCGGCAGAGUGCCCAGUAAAGAUCCACCACAAUACCACCACACAUCUGCUCGGGGAUGAACAAGGGCUGACUGAUUGAUAAGCUCUUGAAAAUUUUUAAGCUCACCGCAUCCUUUCAGGUCUCCAAGGGAUGCUAAGUUUCCUCCCUGUCAUGAGAGACACGAAGUGAACUUAGUGUUGGGAAAUGGAGGCUGGAUGGCCCUCAGGGGCUGACCCACAGGGUGCUGGACUUUGGGAUAUAGCAAGAGAGCUUGGCACGACUUAUUACUCCAGGCUGUAGAAUCCUGGAAAAGAGCUACCAUGCAGCCCAUGCCUGGUCGACUGGAGGACCACCUUAGUGGAAAGGGGACAAUCUGGGCCUCUGGCCUGCCAUGUGCACAAGCAUAACAAUUGCUUUUGUUUAACGUGCAGGUGGAAUAUUUGAUCCAUUCCAACGAGGCAUUUGCAUCUUGGUAUGCUGUCUUAAUUGCCAAAGUUUGUUUUAAGUCUUUAACUUCCAUGAUCGUCUAGUAAAAUGAAUGUGUGAUUUUGGGAAAUUACAAAAAUUGGUUGGGGCAGUCCAUCCUUUCUCUUUAGUGGUCCACAGAAUGUUGGACCAACUACGGCAUAAAAGCUCUACAUUGGGGAGCAACACUCCUGGUUGACACUGGAGUCUUUAUCAAAAUUUCCCUGGAUUAAGUGGUCCUAAUUUACUAAUGCCCAGUCUGAGGAGAGUCAGGAAGGAAAGAGGUAGUUUUCUGAAGUAGAGAGCUGUCUUUCACUUGGCAAGUCCCCACAGGGUAUAACAAGGCAAGCAUUAAAUGCAAUAGUUUGAGGCAAAAUCGACUUGCUUAUGUUAAUAACCAGAUGGUCAGCAAUAGAGCGAGGAAAGAAGAAAGUAAUAGAAUGACGAAAGAGUUAAAUUUUUCUUAGUGUUAGUUUGGCAGGGUUUUCCCCUGGGACUGUGGCCCACGACUCUGGAGGGGGUGGCGCUUUGACUCUGGUGUGAUGAGUCCAUCCCUUUUCCGCUGUACGAACAGCAGUCUUGGUGGUAGCAGCACAAGAUAGGGUCCUUCCCAGGCUGGCUUGAGUUUUUCUUCUUUCCACCCUUUGAUAGGAAGGUGAUCUUCAGGCUGGUGCUGGUUUACUGGAAAUUCUAGGGGUGGUACUUGUACUAAAAGACUUUUAGUUUUGAGGGAAAGGAAAGUGGAAGAUAAACCAAGUAUAUAAUUUCUAAGAAACUGACUUUUUCUUUUAAAUGUGGGGACAUCAACAGUGGACUUUGGUCUUUGGUGCCUUCUUGCUGAGAAAUUUCCUUUAGCAUCUAUUUUUAUUAGUUUUUAGACAAAGAAAGCCAAACACCAUUUUAUAUUUAAUAAUGCUUCUUGUAUGAUUUUUUUAUACCAGAUAAGCUAAAUUUCACCUUUAUAUUUAAUGUUAAACUUAGUUUUAAUAAAACUUUGUAUACAUACUUAUUCAAUUUUUAAUGUCAGACCAUAAGGUAAGAUUUUUAUAGAUUCUUUUUAACCUUUUAUAAUCUCUGUUAAAGAGCAGGUUAGUGCUUUAAGAAAAACCCAUUGUGUUUUCACUUUAAUGUCCAGUUCACAGAAAAACUGGAUGAUACUCGUUUAACUUUAGCUAAUAUGUUUACACACAGAAUUUUUUUAUAUAAUUAACAUUUUAAAACUUGCUUAAACCUUCAAAACAAAAAUUUUUUAACCUUUUAGUGUAGAUAAAAAUUUGCAUUCUUAUGCCUCCUUAUAAUCCUUUUAUCAAAGGUAUAUUUUACUUUCCUUAUACACCUUGCACAUAAACUUUUUUUUUUAAUAGUUUUACAUUCAGGAGGCCUAGUAACUUUUAAAUUAUACAACAUUUCUUGCAUAAAUUCUUUUUUUAUAACAUUUUUCUCUUUCAUGACUUUUGUAGACAAUUCUUCGACAUGCCUCAACAUUCUGACUUAUUACAAACAUUUCUGUCUUUAAACAACCAGUUAAUUCAGGACAAGAAUUUACCAUAUAACACUCUUUUUACAUAAAUUCUGCCCCCCCCUUUUUUUCCCUUUUGUUUUUCGAGAUGAUAACCAUUCUUUUCCAAAGCAAACUUCUUUUAUGUCUGUGGACUAGACUGUCUAAGGCCACAAGAUUAGAAGUUACUAUAAUACAUAUUACACUGUUAACUUUUAGCAAACUUUACUUCUGUUGAAACCCUUGUAAGUUUGGGACUUCAAUUAUCCUUUGCCAUUAAUAAGGCCUUGUUUUGUCCAAAUUAACUUAGAAUUGGUAUAGAUGGCAUUUUUUUUUUCCCUUCAAUUACCUGGGAGGAACCAUCGAUCCUCCUGUCCUGAAGGGAGUUCCUCCUAGGUCUGGUUGGUCCUUUGUAUGGUAAUUUAGAUUUAGAUCCCCUAUUAGGAAACCUGCUGGGUUAAGGGAAUUUUCAGUGGUUAAUGUUAAAUCAUCCUUUUUUUUUUUUUUCGUUAGGAUACUUCUGAACUGGUGAGGUGUGCUCACAAUGAGGUUUCCUCUAAAAGUUAUUUUUUUACUUUUUUCUGUUAGCAAAGCAGUUGCUGCUACAGAUUGAAUGCAUUUGGGCCAUCUGCAGGUUACUGGGUUAAGGACUUUUGAUAGGAAGGCCUCAGUGCUUUCGGGAUACGCCCUUGUUUACACUGACAACAAAGUGGUAUUGGAGUGUUAUAGGGUAAGGAGAAUACCUUCAAUUAUAGGUUCUUAAUUUACCUUGGCUUUUAAAGGAAUAGUAUACACUGUUUUUUUUCUUAACUGCUUGCAUAUCUCUGUCUUUCUUUCUUUCUCUCUUUGAUUUUCUGUCUCUUUUUCUCUUUGACUUUACUUUUGCAUCUGUCUGUUUCUCUCUCUGCCUCUCUCUUUCUCUCUCUCUCUCUCUCUCUCUCUCUGCUGGUCUUUCCUUGCCUCUGCCAACCACCUAUGUUGCUGUUCUCUCAACCACUGUGUGUGUGUGUGGAGGGUGGGUCUAAAACCAGCUAUAACCAAGUGUCUAUAUAUGGGAACUGGUCUGGGUGGCUUGGCUUACAGGUUACUUUGUGCCAUACCUUUGAAACAAGGGACCUGUCCAGGCUUCCUUCUGAUGGCCAACCCACCUCUAAUGCUGGCCAGUCUAUCUUACACAAAGUUUUAAGUUUUCCUGGUGUCAUAGUACUCCAUAGUCUCCCUUAAAUCCUUUCUUGAAAUUUCUGAACAUAUUUCCUAGUGGGGUGGGCUUACUUUGUGCCUGACCCAUGCUUCUUUGAGACAAAACACCAUGCUCACACCACACGCACACCACAAAGAACAGGUAAAAAGGGCACACACACACUUUUACAGUUUACACCAAACCAGAAUCAAAACCAAAAUCAGAGUAUCAGGAAAUCCAAGCCAGGUCAAAACCAAAACCAAAGUAUCAAGCAAUCCAAGUCAAGUCAAAAACAAAAACCAAAGUGCUGGUACAGGCACGUCGUGGGUGAUCAGGCCAUGCUUCCACUCAAAUGGAAUGGGCAAGUUCCAAAGACCAGUCUUACCAAGUUUCAGAUGUCCGGACUCCAAGUGCCAGUUCCUUCCCGGUGUUCAGCCACUGCGUUGAUCCUCCACGGGGGCCUGCCAUGCACUGCUCUGGUGAGGCAUUCCACUAGGGCAAUUGCAUACCCAGGAGUGCUCUCAGGAUCUGUGUCACUCAAGCUGGCCGGAGUCCCCUGCAGGGAUGCUCCACAGGGCAGGCCUAAGCCACCUAAGGGACUGCCUCGACCGUCCGUUAAUCACCUUGCUUCCCGGUCAGGGAACCAAAAAAUGUAGCAGGACAAGCCACAGACAAAACCCCUCAGACACCGAGUUAAAGAAGGAAAGGCUUUAUUCGGCUGGGAGCUUCAGCAAGACUCACGUGUCCAACAACCAAGCUCCCCACAUGAGCAAUUCCUGUCCCUUUUAAGGGCUCACAACUUUAAGGGGGUCCUCGUGAGAGGGUCAUGAUCGAUUGAGCAAGCAGGGGGUAUGUGACUGGGGGCUGCAUGCACCGGUAAUUAGAAAAGGACAGAACAGGACAGGUAUUUUCACAAUGCUUUUCUAUACAGUGUCUGUAAUCUAUAGAUAACAUAACCGAUUAAGUCAGGGGUUGAUCUUUAACUACCAGACACAGGGUGUGGUGCCGGGCUGUCUGCUUGUGGAUUUCAUUUCUGCCUUUUAGUUUUUACUUCUUUCUUUGGAGGCAGAAAUUAGGCAUAAGACAAUAUGAGGGGUGGUCUCCCUUACUUCCAAUGCCAGUUGCAAACCCAGGUUUUUGUUUGUUUGUUUGUUUGUUUAACCUGUGCUUCUGACCAACUGGCUAUAAAUCAGCAUCCUAUGACUUCCUCUUUAGGUUCGCUUAGUUUGGUAGGGCAGCUCACAGAACUCAGGGAAACAUGUUUACUGGUUUAUCAUGAAGGAUAUUGCAAAGGAUACAGAUGAAGAGAUGUAUAGGGUGAAUUAUGGGAAGGGGCAUGGAGCUUCCAUGCCUUCCUUGAGUGCAUCACUCUCCAGGAACCUCCACGUUUUUAGGUGUCCAGAAGGAAGCUCCCUGAAGCCAGUCCUUUUGGGUUUUUAUGGAGGCUUCAUUAUGCAGGCAUGAUUGAGUAAAUCAUUGGCCAUUGGUGAUCAACUCAACCUUUAGUCCCUCUCCCCUCUGAAAGAUAGGGGGUGCUGAAAGUAGAAACCCUCUAAUCCUGCCUUGAUCUUUCUGGGGACCAGCCCGUCAUUCUGAAGCUACCUGGGGGCUGCCAGGCAUCAGUGAACUCAUUAGCAUACUAAAAGAGGAAUUACCUUGAGGAUUCCAAGGAUUUUAGGAGUUGUAUGCCAGAAAACCAAGAUGAAGGCCAAAUAUAUAUUUUAGAAUAUCACAAUCCACCCUGAUCUUUGAACCCAAAUACCUUAUAUCAAAAGGACAUACAAUUGAAAAGAUACUGCCAUAUUGCUAGCAUCCCAUUCAGUCAUUAAUAAUUACUCCAGUCCAUCAUCUCGUGUGACUGUCUUCCAGGGUGAAGCCACUCAGAUUUACAGGUUUCCAUCUAAUCUUGUCAGCUUCCAAAAGCAGGAGGAGUCUUGGCCAACACAUGCUUCACCCUUUCAGGCAGCUGACAUAAUUGAGCUAAGACAGGAUGUCCAGGAUGUCAUCUUUCAAGGUAUUAAUGUAAUACUAGGUUUCUCUCAAUUUGUAAUCCAUUUGUUCAUUCUUUUACCCUCAGCUACUAUUCUUCCUUCUCUUCAUUUAUACCCAAACUUUUCCACCUCUGGAAGAGACAUUAGGUUCAGCUACUGUGCUUGUCUACACUGCAGGCAACAAUACUAGUCUAGCAGCAAGUUCCUUCCCUUCAGUUCAUUCCCAUUGACAUAGGAUAAGGUGAAACAGGUGCAAAACUGUGGAUGAUGAUGCAGGAUAUUUUCAUGACCCCUUUGUUGGAUUAAUGGCAGGGUGUCUCGUUUACUUAGCCUACCCCAUUCAACCCCUUGUGGGAGGGAGCCUGUGAGCAAACGGGCACAGGAACUGACUGGCUUCUGUGGUGCCAGCAAAAGCAAAUUCCACUUGCUUGGGUCUGCUGUGCUUCACCCCUCAUGGGAGGACGCAUGCAGGUGAGCAAGUGCAGAAACCAGCUGCUUUAGUGCCAGCAGGAGUGAACUCUGUGCAGGCCCCAUGGCAGCAUCUAGCUGGAGGUGGCUGCGACCCCAAGGCCCCAGAGGGCGUGUUACAAUGCUCUCUUAGCUCCAUUGUCUGAAGACAGCAGUGUGUUAUCAGCUCAGUGGGCCCUUUGCCUCAUUUUGUGGGGUGGCUGCCCUCCACCAGCAAGGGCAAAGGGCCAGUGUGACAGCCUUUUUGGGUACCUGCACCUGGUGAGUCCCAAAUUCUUAUCUGGUGCCCAAGAGGAAUAAGGUCCCGCAGACGAAUUGAAGGAUGGUGAAUGUGGAGCAUUUUAUUGAGUAAUGAAAGUGGCUCUCAGAGGAGAGGGGAGCUGGAAAGAGGAUGGGAAGGGCAGGUCGCUGUCCCCUGAAGUCAAGCUGCCUCUCUACCUCUCUCUUCCAAAGUUAAGUUGCCUCAUCCAGCCACCAUCUCUGAAGUCGAAGUUGCCUCUCCCCAGUGUCCAGCUGCUUCUUCUGAUGUCCAGCCACUUCUUCUCUCUGUCAGCUGAGUAUGGGUUCUUUAUAGGCACAGGAUGGGAUCAAGGGGGCUGUAGGUAGUUUUGGAAAAGGCAACAUUCAAUUGGUAAAAAGACAUUACUCAGAACCAAUCAGGAGAGAGUGGGCUAACAGAAAUGGAAGUUCUCACUUUGGGCCGUGGGUUUCAGGCUUUUUGUCUCGAAGGUGGGGUUUUGCCAGAGACCUACCCCAUUUGUCUAGAAUUUCUGUGCCUUCUGUUGCUAACACUGUUUUUACCACCAGGCCAUAUAGUUGCAUUUACUGCUAACCCCAAUUAUGCUAGAUGGAGUGAAGUACAACCCACUUCUAUCAGGCCCUUAGGAAUUCUAGCAUAAGAUUUCUUAGGAAUUAUACCUACUUCCAGCACUUGUAGUCGUAGCCCUGGUCCUGUGACCACUGCAUCAGGUAGGGAGAUAAAAGUUGAGGUAAUACAUGGAGAAAAGGAAAAAAGUAGGAUCAUUAUACCAGCAUAUUCCCCCCUUGGCAAGAAUCGCAUAGUCAUACCUGCAUACUCUCCAAUCCCUCUUCCUCAGAUGCACCAGAAAAAUGGAGAAUUUUAGAUCCUUUAGUUCCACUAGUGUUGAGUGUGAGCACACAGUCAUGAAGGUGUGUAAUCCAAUCUUUAUGCUUUUAAAUAGUGGUUUUAAAUCAAUGUUUUAAUUGCCUGUUCUACUUCCCUAUCAAACCAUUACUCUAAGGAGAAUAUCUCUCUGCCUAUUGCUGGACAUUACAGGCUGUACAGUGUGUUCCUUAGUCUGAAGAAAUGAUAUUGGCCAAUAAAUCCAUGCAAUAUCUUAUUUUCUGGUUUAUAUCUAUAUCUCCUUUUUCCCAGAUAUGAACCACAAUUCUUAAGGUUACUGGUAAAUACAAUUAGCGUAUUACAUAAUUGUUUAUUUCCUUUAACCCACACAACAUGCAAUAGUUUCAGAAUAACAGUACUAAAUGCAACCAACAAUAUGAUUACUGAAAAUAGUUUUGAUCUUUUUGUUUUUCAUCUCUUUUGUGCUGCAAUGAUAUCACUGUGUUUUAAACUCACUUGGAAUAGUUAGCCUCUAUGUUUAUGCCUCCAACUAAGUAUACAAUUAAGUUAAUUUGUUAUGUUUUAUUCUCAAUUUGUAGAUGUCUUUUAAAAAAUUAUCUUUUGUUUUACAAUAAGGUAGGAAAUUCACAUGGCUCCAAAGUCAAACAUACCAAGCAGUUUGUAGUAAGCACAAUCACAUCUCCCUAACGAUGUUUACCUCCUAAACCAGAUGUGUGGUGCAAGAAAAGGGUCCAAUUUCAUUCUUUUGCACGUGGAUAUUUGGUUAUCCCAACACCACUUAUUGAAGAGACUCUCUUUUCUUCAUUUUGUCUUCUUGGUGCUCUUGUCAAAAAUUUGUUGAAUGUAUAUAGAUGGUUAAUUUUGGGCUCUCUAUUCGGUUCCAUUGGUCUGUUUCACAGUAUCAUACUGUUUUGAUUAAUGUAGCUUUACAUGUUUUGAAGUCAGAAAGUGUAAGGCCUCCAGCUUUGUUGUUUCUCAAGAUUGCUUUGUCUAUUUGGGUUCAGCUAUUGUUUGUCUAAAUUUUAUGGUUCCAUAUACAUUUUAGGAUUCUUUUUCUACUUCUGCCAAAAAAUGUGACUGGUAUUUUUAUAAGGAUUACUUUGAAUCUGUAGGUCACUUUGGGUAAUGUGGACAUCUUAACAAUGUUAAGUACAUUCCAUGUACAUAUGGUGUCUUUUCAUUUAUUUAUGCCUUCUUUAAUUUUUUUAAUCAAUAGUCUAUAGUUUUCAGGGCAUAAGUCUUCACCUCCUUGUUUGAACUUAUUCUUUAGUAUUUUACUCUUUUGAAUGCCAUUGUAAAUGAGAUUGUUUUCUUAAUUUAUGUUUGCUUUGAUUUUUUGUAGUGUAUAGAAAUGUGACUGAUUUUUGUAUCUUAAUCCCACAACUUGGAUUUAGGUAGUUUUAUCCUGAAACUUUGCUGAGUUAAUUUUUCAAUUCUAACAGUUUUUGUGUGGCAUUGUUUUGGUUUUCUACUUAUAACAUUAUGACAUCUGUGAACAAAGAUAAUGUGACUUCUUCCUUUCAGAUUUGGAUGACUUUUAUUUUUUAUCUUGCCUAAUUGCUCUAGCUACGACUUCUAGAACUAUGUUGAAUAAAAGUAGUGACAGUAGGUAUCCUUGCCUUUUACCUGAUCUUGAGAAAAAGCUUUUAGCUUUUAGCUAUCGAGUAUGAUAUUAGCUAUGGACUUUUCAUUUCCUUUGUUAUUGGAAAGUAAUUUCCUUCUAUUCCUAGUUUGUUGAGUGUUUUUGUCAUGAAAGAGUGUUGAACAUUCUCAAAUGCUCUUUCUGCAUCUAUGGAAAUCACCAUGUCAUUUUUAUUCUUUGUUAUGUUAAUGUGGUAUGUCAUUAUGAUUGAUUUUUGUAUGUUGAACUGUCCUUUCAUUCCAGGAAAAAUUUCACUUUGCUAUGGUAUAUAGUGCCAUUAAUGUACUGCUAAAUUUGGUUUGCUAGGUGACAAUUUUUGCAUCUCUAUUCAGAUUGGUCUUGAAUUUUUUUUCUUGUAGCCUCUUUGUCUGCCUUUGGUAUCGGGGAAAUGUUGGCUUCAUAAAAUGAGUUUGAAAAUAUUCCCUUCUCUUCACUUUUUUUGGAAGAGUUUAAGAAGGAUUUGGCAUUAAUUAUUUAAAUUUUGAUGGAAUUAACUAGUGAAGCUAUCUGGUCAUGGGCUCUUCAUUGUUGGGAGGUGUUUGAUUGUGAUUCUAUCAUUUUACUAGUUUUAGGUCUGUUCAGAUUUUCUAUUUAUCAUGGUUCGGACUUGGUAGGUUGUAUGUUUCUAGGAAUUUAUUCGUUUAUUCUAGGUUACCGAUGUGUUGAUGUAUAAUUGUUCAUACUAGUGUUCUGUAAUACUUUUUAUUUCUGUGUUAUCUUUUUUAAUGUUUCCUCUUUCAUUUCUGAUUUUAUUUGAGUCUUCUGCAUUUUUCCUUUUUUUCUUUUUCUUUUUCUUUUUUUUUUUUUUUUUUUUUUUUUGAGACGGAGUCUCACUUUGUCACCCAGGCUGGAGUGCAGUGGUGUGAUCUUGGCUCACUGGAACUUCCAUCUCCAGGGUUCAAGUGAUUCUCCUGCCUCAGCCUCCCAAAUAGCUGGGAUUACAGCUGCACACUACCAUGCCUGACUAAUUUUGUAUUUUUAGUAGAGAUGAGGUUUCGCCAUGUUGGUCAGGCUGGUCUCAAACUCCUGACCUCAGGUGAUCCACCCACCUCGGCCUCCCAAAGUGCAGGGAUUACAAGUGUCAGCCACCAUGCCUGGCCCCUGGAUUUUUUCUUAAUAUAACUAAAGGUUUGUCAAUUUUAUUGAUCUCUUCAAGAAAGAAUCUUUACAUUUAUUUUUUUUUUUUUUACUGUUUUUCUAUUCUCUAUUUCAUUUAUUUCUGCUCUAAUCUUAUUGUUUUUUUCCUUCUGUAACUUUGGACUUAGUUUGUUCUUUUUCUAGUUCCUUGAGGUUAGAUUACUAAUUUGAGAUAUAUGUAUAUUUUUAUACAUAAAGUUUACACUAUAAACUUUCUUCUUAGUACUGCUUUUACUGCAUCCCAUGAGUUUUGGUAUAUUGUGUUUCUAUUUUCAUUUGUCUCAAGAUAUUUCCUAAUUUACCUUCUGAUUUCUUUUGGACCCACAGGUAGUUCAAGAGUGUGUUGUUUAAUUUCUAAAUAUUUGUGAAUUUUGCAGUUUUUCUAUUGUUACUGCUUUCUAGUUUUAUCACAUUGUGGCCAGAAAAGAUACUUGGUAUGAUUUCAAUCAUCAUAAAUUUGCUAAGAUUUAUUUUUUAACCUAACAUAUGUUUUAUCCUGGAUGAUGUUUUAUGUGCACUUGAGAAAAAUGUAUAUUCUAUACCAGCUGGAUGGAUAAUACAGUACAUGUUUCUUAGGUUCAUUUGGUCUGUAGGUGAUAUCAUUUGGAGUUGUGUCCCUGCCAAAAUCUCAUGUUGAAUUGUAAUUCCAAUGUUGGAUGAGGGGGCCUAAUGGGAGGUGACUGGAUCAUAGGGGCAGAAUUCCCCCUUGCUGUUCUUGUGAUAGUGGGUGAGUUCUCACUAGAUUUGGUUGUUUAAAAGUGUAUAGCACCUCCCCCUACUUUCUCUUCUUCCUGUUCCAGCCAUUAAGAUGUGCCUCCUUUCUUUUCACCUUCUGCCAUGAUUGUAAGUUUCCUGAGGCCUCCCCAGCCAUGCUUUAUGUACAGCCUGUGGAACUGUGAGUCAGUUAAACCCCUUUUCUUUAUAAAUUACCCAGUCUCAGGCAUUUUUUAUAGCAAUGUGAGAAUGGACUAAUGCAGAAAAUUGGUACCAAGAGUGGGGUAUUGCUAUAAAGGUACCUGAAAAUGUGGAAGCAGUUUCAGAACUGGGUAAAGGGCAGAGACUGGAACAGUUUGGAUGGCUUAGAAGAAGACAGGAAGAUGAGGGAAAGUUUGAAACUUUCUAGAGACUUGUUAAAUUGUUGUGACCAAAAUGCUGUUGGUGAUAUGGUUAACGAGGUCCAGGCUGAGGAGGUCUCAGAUGGAGAUGAGGAACUUAUUGGGAACUGGAGCAAAGGUCAAUUGUUAAUCAUUAGCAAAGAGGUUGGAGGCAUUGUGCUCCUGCACUAGAGAUCUGUGGAAUGUUGAACUUGAGAUUGAUGAUUUAUGGUAUCUGGCAGAAGAAAUUUCUAAGCAGCAAAAUGUUCAAGAUGUGGUCUGGCUGCUUCUAGCAGCCUAUGCUUAUAUUUGUGAGCAAACAAAUGACCUGAAACUGGAACUUAUAUUUGAAAGGGGAGCAGAGGGUAACAGUUUGGAAAAUUUGAAGUCUGGCCAUGUAGUAGAAAAGACAAAUCCAUUUUCUGGGGAGGAAUUCAAGCUGACUGCAGAACUUUGCAUAAGUAAAGAAGAGCUGAAUGUUAACAGCCAAGACAAUGGGGAAAGUGCCUCGAAGGCAUUUCAGAGACCUUUGCAGCAGCCCCUCCUGUAACAGGCCCAGAGGCCUAGGAAGGAAGAAUGGUCUUGCAGGCCAGGUCCAGGGCCCUGCUGCCAGGCACAACCUUGGGACACUGCUCCCUGUGUCCUAGCUGCUCCAGCUCCAGUUGUGGCUAAAAGGGCCCCAGAUAUGUCUCAGGCUGCUGUUCCAGAGGGUGCAAACCAUAAGCCUUGGUGGCUUCCAUGUGGUGUUAAGCCUGCAGGUGCCCAGAGGGUAAUUGUUGAUGCUUGGGAGUUUUCACCUAGAUUUCAGAGGGUGUAUGGAACCACCUGGAUGUCCAGGCAGAUGUCUUCUUUGGGGCAUAGCCAUCAUGGAAAACCUCUACUAGGGCAGUGCAGAGGGGAAUUGUGAGGCUGGAAUCACCAUACAGGGUCCCCAAUGGGGCACUGCCUAGUGGAGCUGUGAGAAGAGGGCCACUGGCCCCGAGACCCCAGAAUGCACCAUUCACCUGGAAGAGCCACAGGCACUCAAUGCCAGCACAUGAAAGCAGCCAAGGGGGCUGCAUCCUACACAGCCACUGGGACAGAGAUGUCCAAGGCCUUGGGAGACCACCUUUGGCAUCAGUGUUUCUUGGAUGUGAGACAUGGAGUCAAAGGAGAAUAUUUUGGAGCUUUAAGAUUUAACAACUGCCCUUCUGGGUUUUGGACUUGCAUGGGGCCUGUAGCCCCUUUGUUUUGGCUGAUUUCUCCCUUUUGGAAUGGGAGUAUUUAACCAGUGCUUAUACCCCCAUUAUAUUUUGGAAGUAACCAAUUGUUUUCGAUUCUACAGGCUCAUGGGUGGAAUCAACUUGCUUUGUCUCAGAUGAGUCUUUGGACUGUGGACUUUUGAGUUAAUGCUGGAAUGAAUUAAGACUUUGAGGGAACUGUUGGGAAGGCAUGAUUGGUUUUGAAAUGUAAGAAGGACAUGAGAUUUGGGAGGGGCUGGGGUGGAAUAAUAUGGUUUGGAUUAGUCUCCCUGCCCAAAUCUCAUGUCGAACUGUGAUUCCCAGUGUUGGAGGAUGGGGCCUGGUGGGAGAUGAUUGGAUCAUGGGAGCAGAUUUCCUCCUUGCUAUUCUUAUGAUAGUGAGUGAGUUCUCACUAGAUCUGGUUGUUUAAAAGUGUGUAGCACCUCCCCCAGCUCUCUUCUUCCUGUUCUAUCCAUGUAAGACAUGCCUCCUUCCUUUUCACCUUCUGCCAUGAUUGUAAGUUUCCUGAGGCCUCCCCAGCCAUGCUUCCUGUGCAACGUGCAGAACUGUAAGUCAAUUAAACCUCUUUUCUUUAUAAAUUACUUAGUCUCAGGUAGUUCUUUAUAAGCAAUACAAGAAUGGAUCAAUAAUAGGGUUUCACAAAUCCUGUUUUGUUAUUGAUCUUCUGUUUGGAUAAUGGUCUAUUCAUUCUUGACUGUGGGGUAUUGGAAUCUCCUACUAUUAUUGUGUUGCUAUCUAUUUCUCCCUUCAGUUCUGUCAAUGUUUGUUUUAUGUGUUGGGUCCAUAUAUAUUUAUUAUUGUUAUAUAUCCUUGGCAAACUGACCCUAUUAUCAUUAUAUAGUGACCUUCUUUGUCUCUUGUGACCAAUUUGACUUAUAGGCUCUUUUAUCAGAUAUAGGUGUGGUCACCCUGUUCUUUUUGGUUACCAUUUGUGUGAAAUAUCUUCAUCCUUUCACUUAGACACUAUAUCUGAUAUCUAGAGUGAGUCUCUUUUUAUGUAAUUGACAGAGUCAUAGACAUGAUACAGUUAAAUCUUAUUUUUUUCUUAAAAUCCACUUAGCCACUCUAUGUCAUGUGAUGUGGGAGUUUAAUCCUUUAACCUUUAAAGAAUUACUAAUAGGGAAGGACUUACUAUUGCCAUUUUGUUGAUUGUUUUCUGUCUUGGAGCUUUUUGUCACUUUUCCUCUCUUGCCAUUUUCCUUUGUGUUUUGUUGAACUUCUCAGUUACAUACUUUGAGUCAUUUCUAAUUUUCUGUGUGUCAUAUAUAUAUAUAUAUAUAUAUAUAUAUAUAUAUAUUUGUCAUAUAUAUAUAUAUAUAUAUAUAUAUUUUUUUUUUUUUUGAGAUGGAAUUUUGCUCUCGUUGCCCAGGCUGGAGUGCAAUGGCACGAUCUCAGCUCACCGCAACAUCUGCCUCCUGGGCUCAAGCGAUUCUCCUGCCUCAGCCUCCCAAGUAGCUGGGAUUACAGGCAUGUGCCACCACACUCAGCUAAUUUUGUAUUUUUUUUUAGUGGAGGUAGGGUUUCUCCAGUUGGUCAGGCUGGUCUCAAACUCCCGACCUCAGGUGAUCUGCCCACCUUGGCCUCUCAAAGUGUUGGGAUUACAGGCAUGAGCCACCACGCCCAGCCAAAUAUUUUCCUUGUUGUUACCAUUGGAUUUACAUAAAACAUGUUAUAGUUAUAACAGUCUAUUUAAAGCUUAUAACAACUCAAUUUUAAUCACAUAAAAAACUGCUCUUUUACUUUUCCCCUCUACUUACUGUCACAGAUUACAUAUUUGAUGUAAUAUGUAUUUGAUGUAAUUGUUACUCCUCAUCAUCAGUUACACAAAUCAUUACAUUUGUGUAAACUGUAAUUGAUAUCAUGAGUUCUAUUUUUAAUGUGUACCCAUUAACAUAUUUUAUAGUUAUACACUUAUAAGGCAGGUCUAGUAGUAAUAAACUUCUUUAGAUUUUGUUUAUUUGGAAAAGUCUUUAUUUCUUCAUUUUUGAAGGAUAGUUUUUCUAGGUAAUAGCAUUCUGGAUUGGCAGCUUUUUUUUUUUUUUUUUUUAAGAAUUUGAAUUUCCAUUCCCUCAGCCUACAAAGUUUCUGCUGAGAAAUCUGCUGAUUGUCUUAUGGAAGCUCCCUAGUAUGUAAUUACUUGCUCUUCUCUUGCUGCUUUCAAAGUUGUCUUUGUCUUUGACCUUUGCCAAUUUGAUCAUAAAGUGUUGUGGUUUGCACUUCAUCAGUUUAUCUAGUUAGAGAUAUUUGAACUUCUCAAAUCUGGGUGUCCAUUUCUUUCCCUAGAUUUUGGAGGUGUUAGACCAUUAUUUCUUCAAAAAAACUUUCUGUUUCUUUCUCUCUGCCUUCCCCCUUCUUCUUCUGAGACUUACAUUAUGUGUCCAUUGGCCCACUUGACAGUGGCUUAUACGUCCCUUAUGUUUUAUUUACUCUUUUUCAUUCUUUUUUUUCUCUCCUCUCACUGGGUAAUUUCAAAUGACCUGUUUUUGAAUUUUCUAAUUAAUUCUUCCAUUUGACCAAGUCUACUGUUGAAACUCUCUGGUACAUCCUUCUUUCUUUCUCUUUCUCUUUCUCUUUCUCUUUCCCUCCCUCCCUCCCUUCCUCCCUUCUUUCCUUCCUUCCUUCCUUCCUUCGUCCUUCCUUCCUUUCUUCCUUUCCUUCUUUCUUUUUGACAGAGUCUUGCUCUGUCACCCAGGCUGCAGUGCAGUGGCAGGAUCUUGGCUCACUGCAACCUCUGCCUCUUGGGUUCAAGUGAUUCUCAUGCUGCACCCUCCAAGUAGCUGGGAUUAUAGGCACAUGCCACCACGCCUGGCUGAUUUUUGUAUUUUUAGUAGAGACAGGGUCUCACCAUGUUGGCAAGGCUGGUUUUGAACGCCUGGUCUCAAGUAAUCUGCCUGCCUUGGCCUCUCAAAGUGCUGUGAUUACAAGCAUGAGCCACCACGCCUGGCCUCUGGUACAUUUUUCAAUUCAGUAAUUGUAUGUUUCAGUCACUAAAUUAUUGUUUGGUCCUAUUUAAUAUUUUCUAUCUCUUUGUUAACAUUCUCAUUUUGUUCUUGCAUCAUUAUCCUGAAUUUUUUAAAUAUCUUUAUUACGUUUCUUUUCAAUGUUUUAUUAGGUAAUUCACAUACGUUCAUUUAUAUAGGGUCAGUUCCUGGAGACUUAUUUUGUUUUGUUUUGUUUUGUUUUGUUUUUGAUAGGGCAAUGUUUCCUGUUUCUUUAUGUGCCUUGUAACUUUGUGUUGGGAUCCAUGCAUUUGAAAAAACAGCUGCUUCUCCCACUCUUUGUGGACUAGAUUUGUACAGAGAAAGACCUUCACAAUUAGCUACUCCUCUUAAACCUUUUUUUUAUGUAUGUGUCUUCCCUGGAGUUACAUGUGUGAAUUAUCAAUUAGAAGGAUCUUCUGUUUUUCUUUUCAGGCACUCCUAAUCUCUUUUUUUCUCUAAUGAUUGUGCCUUGAGCAGCUCCCUGAAAAGACAGAACAUUGGGUACAUGGUGCACUCUUUUCUCCAUUUCCCCCACAAUGGAGAGGUCACUGAGCUGUGACAGCCACUGUCUGCUGCACUGUGGGUCUUCUGGGAUAUAAGCAAACUACCUGUCUCUCUUUUGUUCUCAGGAGCUCCCAGGCCUCUACAGUUUGCUGGGUCCCAUUACUUUCUGAGACAGGUGAGAUGGAAACAAGUCUCUUGGGAAGGCUCCCAAAAAGCCCAUUGUCAUAGAAAGCACCUGGCUUCUAAUGUAAGUGUGAGAAUUGGAGAGAAAUAUCUUGGUAAAAGAUAGAAAUAGGAGAGAAAAAGUAUGUCAAAUUCCAGGUCUAAAUAGGGGGAUCUCUAUUGACUUUAUUCUGUGUUUUUCUCUAACAUACCAAUAUGAUUAAAGUAAUAACUUGCUUAACAGCAACUGGGUGUAAACACUGUUAUUUUUAUUUAUUUUCCAAAUGAGAUAAAAUCUGUCUUUGAGCUCUAAUGUGUCUAGUUGAAAAGAGAUUAAAUUUAUUGUUUAUUUAGGUUACUCUUGCCCAACUUCAUCAAAGUGGGGGCUGGGGUAAUGCUAUUGCUAUCCAGAAAACUUGAUGAAAUCUUUCUUGUUCUUAGUCUAUUAAACCGUUUCACUAUCAUCUGCAGCUCCUGAAUCUGUCUGCUGGUGUGUUCUUGUGCAUUGUUAUCUAUGGCCAUCUCUGAAAUGAAUAUUCUAGUGUAUUUCCAGUUUAGAAAAAGUGCAGGGGACAGAAGAACAUGUUAAAGAAUACCACAGGGAUGCAACAAAGAGGUUUAUUUUCUGAGCCCAUGGUGACUAUUGGAAAACCAGCAACUCUGCUGCUUAGGCUAUUUCCCUGCUUUGUGUCAGCUAAACCUUUAGAGUAGGGGUUUGGUGCCUAGCCUCACAUGUCAACACCAUCAGAGGUCCUACCUCCUCCUGCAGCACUGUGGAAAGUGCUGUUCCCAUUUUCAUCACCAGCAGUUUAUACUAUACAUCAGCAUAGUUUGCCACUGGGAUUAGGACUUUUCUCUUAUUCUUUCAAAUGAAUGAAUUCUUGCUUAGAAUAAUCCAGUAUUUUUUCCUCUAUUAGUAUGUUAGUUAGCUAUAGCUACUGGAACAAAGUACCACAAAAUAGAUGGCUGUAAAAGGCAGAUGUUUGUUCUUUUAAAGUUCUGGAGGCUACAAGCCCAAAACAAGAUGUAGGCAGGGUGGGUUCCUUCUGAGGGCUCUAAUGGAGAAUUUGGUUCAUGCCUUUCUUCUAGCUUCUGGUGAUGUCUCACAAUUGUUGACAUCCUGUGGUAUUAUCUCUAUGUGUCUCUGUCUUUGUCUCUGUUUUUUUUUGUUUGUUUGUUUGUUUGUUUGUUUGUUUCGAGACAGGGUCUUUUUCUGUUACACAGGCUGGAGUGCAGUGGCACAAUCAUAUCUCACUGCAGCCUUGAUCUCUUUGUCUCAAGUGAUCCUCUCACUUUGACCUCUCAAAGUUCUAGGAUUACAAGCAUAAGCCACCACUCCUGGCCCUGUCUCUGUGUUCUUUUCUUUUCUUUCUUUCUUUUUUUGUUUUGUUUUGUUUUGUUUUGUUUUGAGACAGAGUCUCCCUCUGUCACCCAGGCUGGAGUGCAGUGGUGUGAUCUUGGCUCACUACAUUUUCCAGGCUCAAGUGAUUCUCAGCCUCCUGAGUAGCUGAGAUUUCAGGGAUGUGCCAUCACAUCCAGCUAAUUUUUGUAUUUUUAGUAGAGAUGGGGUUUUACCAUGUUGGCUAGGCUGGUCUCAAACUCCUGGCAUCAAGUGAUCCAUCUGCCUCAGCCUCCCAAAGUGUUGGAAUUACAGGCAUGAGCCACCAUGCCUCUGUUUUCUUUUCCUAUAAGAAACUGGUCAUAUUGGAAGGGUGCACCAUACUCCAGUAUUAUCUUAAUUAAUUAUAUUGGCAAGUACUUUAUUUCCAAAUGAGGGUGUAUUCUAAGAUAUGGAUGUUAAGACUUCAAUAUUUCUUUUUAGGGGUCACAAUUCAACCCAUAACAACUUGUCUGAUCUUGUGCAUGCUACCCUAGGAAGCCCACCGCUCCCCUCAUCCCACCUCCAAUUUUAAAACACAAAACUUAGCUUGCCCUUUUACACAGUGAAACCUCGUCUCUACUAAAAAUACAAAAUAUUAGCCGGGUAUGGCAGUGUGCACCUGUAAUCCCAGCUACUUGGGAGGCUGAGGCAGGAGAGUCGCUUGAACCUGGGAGGUGGAGGUUGUAGUGAGCCAAGAUUGUUCCACUGUACUCCAGCCUGGGUGACAGAGUGAGACUCCAUCUCAAAAAAAAAAAAAAAAAAAACUUAGCUUGCCCUUUUAAAGGAAGUAGGGAAAAUACUUCUCAUAGAAAAAAUUUAAAGAUAAUCACUACUAUGUUUUUAAAUUGGUAAUAUCUUUAUUAUUUUUGCUGAUUAUAAGUGGAAUGUAUUCCAACUAUAAAAGUUUAAACAAUUUAGAAACAUGAGUAGAAUAUAAAACAGACCAGUUUCCUGAUAUAACAGAGAAGGUGAAAGAAAAGAACAAAUUGUUGUGGACUUAGUUAUUAGAACCAACCCUCCUUCUGAAAAGACCUACAAUUUUGGGAAAAAUAGAAAAGAUUUUUUUUUUUUGCAAUCAUUGAAAAGCUGCCAAGAUGUAAGAAAUUCCCCAGCUAAAAUCUAAGGGAAAAUGAAAGCUCAGGAAGGUAAGCAAAGCACAGAAGCCUCUUGGGUUCUAAAGGCAUUUGCUGGUCUGGGAAGGUUGAUCUUUGGUUUCGAUGGCCUUAGAAGAUGACAGAAAGCAAAUUCCAUGAUCUGCCUAAGAAGGGGAGAAAACACUCCCCACGUUAAGAUGGGUUCAAAAGGCUAUACCAUAAGGGUAAAGUAAUCAGAAGUGAACUCUCACCAGGUAUCUAUAAGAAAGGCUGCUCUGAAGUUUAUCAGAGGUGAUGUGGAGGGCAGGGACCUUAUUCCUGAGAAACAGUAACAUGUAGCACUUCUCAUGGAUGUUCAGCAUAAAUUCUUGUCUCCUGCAUGGCCAAUUUUUUUUAAGCCUUGAGUUUAUUUAAAACUGAUCUUGGUAUAAUCACCUUGGAAAACAGUUUGGUAGAUUUUGUAAAGUUAAUCUGUGCCUACCACCUGACCCAGGAACUCCAUCCCCAAGAGAAACAAAAACAUAUGUUUACAAAAAUAUUUGUAAAUGCCUGUUCAUUUAUGUGAAUGGGACUAUUCAUGAAUAGUAGCCUUAUUGAAAAUGACUAAAAUCUGGAAACAAUUCAAAUGUCCAUGAGCUGUUGACUGGAUAAAUGAAUUGUGGUAUAUUUAUAACUUGAGUUACUAUUGAGAUAUAAGGACAAAUUGCUGAUACAUACAACAACAUGGAUGAUUCUCAGAAAUGUUAUGCUGAAUAAGAGUAGGCAGACGCAAGAGUAUAAAAAAGCAAAAAGUGUGCAAUGUAAUUUGUGUCAAAUUCUAGAGCAAGCUAAACUAAUUUAUAGUGACAGAAAGCAGAUUAGUGGUUCAUUAGGGUUUAAGGUGGGAAAAACAGACUGCAAAUAGACACAAGGUAAAUUUCUUUUUUUAAAAAAUUUGAAGUUCAGGGGUACAAGUGCCAGUUCGUUACAUAGGUAAACUGACAAACAGUAAUUUUCUAAGGAGAAAAUUCUACUUGUUGACAUUGACAGUGGUUACACAGUUUGUAAACUCUUGUUAAAAGGCACUGAUAUGUAUUAUUAAAGUAUGCAAGUAUUGUUUUAUGUGGUUUCCCAAUAAUAUUGUUUAAAAAGUUAGAAAAAAAGUGGUCAUUUUACUAAUAGUGCCACUACGCAUUUACCACUGGGUAGAGAUAUCUUUAUCUUAGGCCUCAAAAAGUCUCCACAAAUAAAUUUUCAUGGAUAGUGCCUAGCACACAAUUUAAAGAGUGUACAUAGAUUCACUGCAUUAUGGGCACAAAAAGAGAAAAAGGAAAAAGCAGAAACAUCAGUUUGCAGAAAUAAACUCGUAAGCACUUCAGGCAGUGAAAAUGUCAGCCAUGGAUUGAUCGUAAAACAAUCAGGUUUGCUGUGUUUAAAGAAAAAAAUAUAUGCAGGAAUAGAACCCUAUAAAAAGUGACCUACCAAAUCUAAAAAAGAACCAAAUGGAGUAAUAAAUGGAAAAUAGAAAGACUAAACUUUAAAAAUUUGUUGGAUGUGUUUAACAAAAGAUUAAAUUCUACCACAGAUAAAAUUAGUUAACUGAAACAUAGGGGAGAAUGUUUCAUCUAGCCUGUAUUAUUGAGACACAAAGAGAUGCAAAAUAUAGAAGGAGGGUAAGAAGGUGAGGAGAAUAAAGUGAGCUCUAACAAAUAAGUGGAGUUCUAAAGAAAGAGAAUGAGAGAGGCAAUAUUUGAGAAGAUGAAAUCUGAGAAUUUUCUGGAAUUAAAAAUCAGAAAUUCACAAAUAUGGGACGCACACUAAGUACAAAGACGUCCUCAUCUAGCCUCAAAUAAAUAUGAUAAAAUAACAAAUACUAAUAAAAAUUAUGCUAGCUAAAGGCAAGAGAAAAUGUUUAAAGCAAUUAUUUUCAAAAUAUUAUCAGAGAGUGAAAAGCAGACUUCUCAACAGCAACAAUUUAAACAAGAAGACAAUUUGCUGAAGGAAAAUAGUUUCCAAUCUUAUAUUCUGUAAGCAACAAAAAAAUACCUUUUUCAAAAAUGACCUUUAAAAAAGGCAUUUUCAGAUAAAUGUCACUGUCAGCUGAGCAUUACUAAAUGAAAUUUUAAUGAAUAUACUUCUUGAUGAGGCAUGGUGGCUCAUGUCUGUAAUCCCAACACUUGCAGAGACUGAGGCAGGAGGUUUGCUUGAGGCCAGGAGUUUGAGAUCAGCCUAGGAAACAUAGUGACACCCUAUAUUAGUCCGUUUUCAUACGGACUAAUAUAGGCAUACCUGAGAUUGGGCAAUUUACAAAAGAAAGAGGAUUAAUGGACUCACAGUUCCACGUGGCUGGGGAGGGCUUACAAUCAUGGUGGAAGGUGAAAGGCAUGUCUCACAUGGUGGCAGACAAAAAAAGAGAAUGAGACCCAAGCAAAAGGGGGUUCUCUUUAUAAAACCAUCAGAUCUCAUGAGACUUAUUCACUACCAUGAUAACAGUAUGAGGGAAACCACCCCCAUGAUUCAAUUAUCUCCCACCAGGUCCCUCCCACAACAUGUGGGAAUUGUGGGAGCUACAAUUCAAGAUGAGAUUUGGGUGGGAACACAGCCAAACCAUAUCACACCCUGCCUCUUAAAAAAAAAAUUAGCUGGGUGUGGUGGUGCAUGCCUUUAGUCCUUGCUACUUGGGCUGCUGAGGCAGGAGGAUUGCUUGAACCCAGGAGUUUGAGGCUGCAAUGAGCUACGAUUGUGCCACUACACUCCAACUUGGGUGAUAGAGUGACAUCCUGUUAAAAAAAAAAAAAAAAGAGUAUACUUCAGGCAAAAGAAAAUAAUUCCAGUGGAAGACAUAACAUGCAAGAAAAAGUAAAGAGCAAUGAAAGUGAGAAGUAUCUAGAUAAUCCUAAAGGAAAAAGAUGAACAUUAAUAUUUAAUAGGAUUGAAAAAAAACAGAGUUAAUACUCCAACAAUAACAUAUAAAUUAGGAAAAGGGCAAAUGAAAUUAAAUUUUUUCUGAGGUCCAUUCAUUGUCUAGGAGGAGGAUAUCUUUAGAUUUUGUUAAGUAUGUAACCAUAGAACUGGCUCAAUCUAAUUCAUCUUUGUGUAAUAAAAUGGUGAAUUGUUUUUCAAUUGCUGUGAAACCUUAGAAUGCAGGGCACAUAACCUGAGCAUGCCCAGAUGAACCAAAUGUGCCUUAUUCAUGACUCCAGAUCCGGGCAGAACUAAAAAGUCUACCACAGGUGGAACCAAACCUCUCAUAUGAAGGAACAGGGACUGAAUAUGGCAGCAAGCCUGGGGAUUACCUCAUCUCAUGCUCUAAUUAGAUAGUACCCUGGCAUCACCUCAUGGCAUCAUCCAAUUAGAUCACACCCCCAGGCGUUACCUCUUUGCAAGAUCCAAUUAGAUCACACCUAAUUACCCUUUUCCUGUAAAACCUGCCCAAGCCCCUGGCUUGGGGAGAUUUUUUUGGGGAGAUUUGAGCAUUUUUUUGGGGAGAUUUGAGCAUUGUUUUCUGUCUUUUUGCCAGUUGAUUCACAAUAAAGUCUUUCUUUUCUCAAAAGCCUCUGCCAUAACAUUGGCUUCUGUAAACAUCAGUCAGCAAGUCCAUUGCUUGCUUAGUAAUAGGUAUUCAUGUUUUUAUUUCUAGGAUAACCAUUAAAAGAAUAGUAUCAGCAACAAUCUCACUACUGGGUAUCUACCCAGAGAAAAAGAAGUCAUUAUACGAAAAAGAUACUUGCACACACGUAUGUAUAGUAGCACAGUUCGCAAUUACAAAAAUAUGGAAACAGCCUAAAUGCCCAUCAUUCAACGAGUGGAUAAAGAAACUCUGGUAUAUUUAUCCCAUGGAAUACUACUCAGUCAUAAAAAGGAAUAGAAUAAUGGCAUUUGCAGCAACCUGGAUGGAAUUCAAGACUAUUAUUCUAAGUGAAGUAACUCAGGAAUGGAAAGCCAAACAUUGUAUGUUAUCACUCAUAAGUGGGAGCUAAACUAUGAGGAUGGAAAGUCAUAAGAAUGACACAGGCCAGGUGUGGUGGUGCAUGCCUGUAAUUCCAGCACUUUGGGAGGCCGAGGCGGGUGGAUCACUUGAGGUCAGGAGUUCGACACCAGCCUGGCCAACAUGGUGAAACCCCAUCUCUGUUUAAAAAAAAAAAAGAAUAAUACAAUGGACUUAGGGGACUCAAGGGAAAGGGUGGGAAGGGGGUGAAGGAUAAAAAAAACUACAAAUUUGGCACAGUAUAUACUGUUCGGGUAAUGGGUGCACAAAAUCUCAGAAAUCACCACUAAAGAACUCAUUCAUGCAACCAAAUACCACCUAUUCUCCAAAUAUUUAUUGAAAUAAUAAUUUUAAAAAGCCCCUUUCAAUCAUACUGGAGUCUGUGCUAAUGAGGUGACUCUUGGAAGAUGGGGUCUGGUGGCCAGAGGAGCCAAUCAUGUGAUUUAAAAAAAAAAAAACUUGUUGCAGUUGAAAUCUGAAAGCAUAUUGAUUAUUUUUUCAUACCUUAUUACAUUAAAGUAUAUUGUUUUAUCUUAUAAAAAAGAAUAGGAUCAGAUGAUCUAAUUUGAAAUCAGUAGAGAAAAAAAUGGAAUGAUAAAAAAUAUUACAAAAGGAGUAGGAGAAGAAAGAAACACUGAAUAGCUAUAACAAAUAUAAAGUCUAAAAUAUGCUAGAUUUAAGCCCAAAUAUAAAAUAAUUAUAUUAUAUGCAAAUGGCUUAAAUAUGUCAGCUAAAAUACAAAGAUUAUCAGAUUAGAUAACAAGAACAUCAAAACCAUAAGAAUACAAUUAUAUGGUAUCUACAAAAGGUACUUCCAAAAUAUAAGGUAGAGAAAGGUCUAAAAUGAAAAUAAGAAAAAAGAUGUAUUAUUCACACUAUAAUUGAAAGAAGCUGGUAUAGCUAUUUAAUAAACUAAUGCUGGGGCCCGGCAUGGUGGCUCUCGCCUGUAAUCCCAGCACUUUGGGAGCUCAAGGCGGGUGGAUCACUUGAGUUCAGGAGUUGGAGACCAGCCUGGCUAACAUGAUGAAACCCAUCUCUAUUAAAAAUACAAAAAUUAGCCAGGUGUGGUGAUGCAUGCUUGUAGUUCCAGCCACUUGUCUCAGAAAAAAAAAACAACAACCUAAUUUUGGUAUAUUCAUACAAUGGAAUACCAUGCACCAUAAAAAUUGAUUAACUGCAGUUGUACAUAACAACAUAAAUGAAUCUCACAUAUAUAAUGUUAGAUGAAAGAAACAGGACACACACACACACACACAUUCAGUGUGAUUCUAUUUACAUAUUUUUAAAACAGGCAAACUAAAUUAUAUCACUUAGAAAUGCAUAAACAAAUGGAAAAUUUUAAGCAAGAAACUGAAUUUUGCAAAAGUCAUAAUGGUUAUUUCUGAUUAGGGAAGGAAAAGAUUAUGAUUAGAAGUGACACACUGGGGGCCUCUGUAGUGGUCACAGUAUUAGCUUCAUUAAAUUUUGCAUAUAUAUGUGUAUAUAUGUGUGUGUGUAUAUAUACACACAAUUUUGCAUAUAUAUGUAUAUAUAUACACACAUAUAUGUGUACAUACACACAAUUUUACAUAUAUGUGUGUGUGUAUAUAUAUACACACACUCACAAAUGCCACUAGUGUGGAUUAUAGCUGAAGAAAUGGAUAACACACUACUUAUUAAUGUAGAACAAAGGCCAGUGCACCCCACCAAACUGAUACCCCCAAACUCACUUAUAUGAAUAAGUGUAUGAAACCUAUGAGGUUUCCCUAUGAAACCUACUCCAUAAAAUUGCUGAAGGCAACUUUUCCAUCAGAUGUGUAAAAUUAAUGUAGGGAUACAUCAAACAUUAGAAAGCAAGGAAAACAGUAAUUCUCCAUUAACAGUCCAUAAUUAUAAGAAAAUCUGUGAAAGGUGGAGAAAAAUGUAAAAUAAUAGUCAUAAGGAAACUCAGUGAGAUACAAUAAAAUGCAGACGUACAAACUCAAUAAAGUCAGGAAAGCAAUUCAUGGUUUGAAUUGAUUUGAAUGAGAAAUUCAACAAAGAGACAGAUAUCAUAAAAAAGGUAUCAUAAAAAAGAACCAAACAGAAAUCCUAGAGCUAAAUAAUUCAAUGAAUAAAACAAAUGAAAUUGAUAGCUUCAACAAAAGACUAGAUCAAGUAGAAGUAACAAUUUCUAAACUGAAAGAUAGGUCUUUUCAAACAACUCAGGAAGUAGAAGCAGCAGAAGCAGGAGGAGGAGAAGGAGGAAAAGAAGAAGAGGAAGAAGAAGAGGAGGAAGAGGAGGAGGAAGGAAAAGAAGAGGAAGAAGAAGGAGGAGGAGGAGAACAAGAAGAAGAAAAGGAAGAAGAAGAGGAGGAGGAAGAAGAAAUAAUGAAGCAAGGAUAUCAGAUUUAUAGGGCACUAUUACACCAAGAAAUAUUCAUAUUAUGGGUGUUCCAGAGGCAGAAGACAUGGGAAAAGGUGAGAAAAACACAUUUAAUAAAAGAAUAGCAGAAAACUUCGCAAGUUUUGAGAGAAAGGUGGACAUCCAGGUCUAGGAAGCUCAAAGAAUUCCAAAUAGAUUCAACCCAAACAGGUCCUCUCCAAGGUACAUAACAGUCCAAUUGUCAACAGUCAAAGACAAAGAAUUCUAAAAUCAGCAAGUGAAAAGUGUCAAGUCAAACUUAAGGGAAUCCCCAUUAGACUAAGAGCAGAUUUCUCUACACAAACAUUACAGGCCAAGAGAGAAUGGGGCAAGAUAUUGAAAGUACUGGGAAAAAACCCCUGUCAACUAGGAAUAUUAUACUCAGCAAAGCUAUCUCCUUCAGAAAUAAAGGAGAAAUAAAGUCCCAGACAAGCAAAACAUAAGGGAAUUCACUAUCACUAACCUGAUUUUAUAAGAAAUGCUCAAGGGAGCCUUGCAUCUGAAAGUGAAAAGAUAAUAAUGUGAACCCAAAAUAUCUGAGACAGGUCGCAGUCAAUUUAGAAAGUUUAUUUUGCCAAGGUUAAGGAUGCACCCAUGACACAGCCUCAGGUGGUCCUGAGGCUUGGACAUGUGCCCAAGGUGGUUGGGGAAUAGCUUGCUUUUAUGCAUUUCAGGGAGACAUGAGACACUUCAGGACAACUUGAAGUGGGGGCUUCCAGGUCAGAAGUAGAUAAGAGACAAAAGGUUGCAUUCUUUUAAGUCCUCGAUCAGCUUUCCACUGAAUACACAAUUUAGUCUGGCUUGGUGCAUCUGCAUUGUUACAUAAAGAAUAAGACAGAGGAAACAAUCAGAUAUCCAUUUGUCUCAGGUCAACCUCAGAGGGAUGACUUUGAAUUCUGUCCUUUGCCCACAAGGAAUUUCCUUGAGACAAG
rnacentral:lncRNA from 1 species